AAAUUAAAAAGUAAAAAUACUAAAAUUUAAAUAUACAAAAAUACAGGGACUAAAAAUAGAAUUAAACCUUUUUUUCUCAACUUUUUCAUCUGCUCGCGCGAAAAUUUCUCUCGAUACCGUUUUCCUAAUUUCUUUUUAAAAAUCUACUUUUAGAUUUAGAAUAUAUCAUAAAAUUGGUAUCACCAUGCAAUCCGACAUCAAAUUCGAUUCUUUUAUAUAAAAUUAACUUUUAUUACUUGAAGCUAGUCUAAUUUUUUAUUUAACAAAUAUAAAAAUAUACAUAUAGUAGAACUUAAAUUUUUGUUUGAUAAUUAGAUUAGUAAAACUUUAAAUUUUUUUAUUCAAUUAAAGUUUUAUUUUAAUAUUUAUACAUUUUAAUUUUAAUAUGUACAUUUUAUUAACUCCAUUAAUUAUAUUUACACUAUUAUUUAAGUUUAUGAUCGAGUUGGUGUCACAAAUCAACCGAACACCAACUCAGUUAGAGAAUUUACUCUGAUGUCUUUCUAUAUUUAAAAUAAAUUUUAUUAUUCGAGAAUACUUUAUUUUUUUAUUUUUCUAAAAAAAUCAAUAAAAAUUUACAUAUAAUAAAAUUUAAACUCAUGACAAUUGAAUUAAUAAAACUUUAAUAUUUAUUAAAAUUAAAAAUAAUAGCAUAAAAUAGUAUAUAUAUUAACUGAAAUGAUUAAGUUAGUAUCACCUUUAAAUUAGAUUCCAACCCAAUUAAAAAAUUAUCAAAAACUCGUUUAUUUUAUAAAAUAAAAAACAUUAUUUUAAUAACAUUUAUGUCAUUUUGUAUUUUGAUAAAUCUAAAAAUAUUAUAUAUAUAUAUAUAUAAAUAUAGACAUGAGGAGAUUAUGAAAUGUGAAUAGAUGACAUCAUAAGUUUCACAUUUAAUUUUUAAAAUAAUUUUUUUUAUAAAUUUCUUAGGUGAAUAUUUUCACUCAACUCUUGAAUUAAAAUAAUAGCACAUUCCAAUCAAUAUUCUUUUGAAUAUUAUAAUAAUAAAAAUAUUAAUUAAAUUAAAACUCAAUUUUUUUUAAAUUACUACAAGAAUAGCGACAUCGCUAAUAUUUACUUAGCAAAUCAAAAUAAUUAUUUUAAAUUUAAAUUAUGGCAUUUAAAAAUGAAUUCAUUAACUAAUUUAAUAAAUUCAGUUUAUGCAUAAAAAUAGAAAAUAGAAAAUAUAUUUAAAGUGUUAUUGAGUUUCAUUAAAAUUUGUGAGGUCCAAAUAGAUUUGAAUUGAACAUGACUAUUCAUCACCGUUUUGUCUUAUCUAUGAUAUUUUUAUUAAUUUAACCUUCAAAUUACACAUUAUCGCAUGAUACAUCAUUUAUUUUUGUGGUCUUACAUUACCUAAACAAACUUCAAUAAAUAUUUUAAAUUCUACAUUUUUUAUUUUCUUAAAUGAUUUUAUUUGCCUGUGGGACUGUGCUAUAAUUUUGGGUGAAAUUUAUGAUUUUGUUUGACUUUAUUUUCAAAUUUUUCUAUAUUCAAAUUUAAGAAAUUAAAUUUUGGUUGCUUUCCUUUUAUAAUUGAAUUUUUUUAGCCUUCCAACUUUAUAAAAAAAAUUUACUUUAACUCUACAUUUAAUUUUUCCUUUUUUUAACUUUUGAGCUUAUAUUUUUUGUCAAAUCAUUUUAAAAUGAGUAAAAAAGUUAAUGUUUACUAACUUUGAUGACAUGAUAUAUGUAGAUUACCACAUAAAUGACCCGUCAACAUUUAAUUAAUUUUUAAAAAUAUUUUUGUUUAUAGUUUUUAUUAAUUUUUUAUUUUUUUAAAUAGUUGUUAUAAUUUUAAAAUUUUUAAAUUUAAAAAAUAAUUAAAUACUGACGUUUCAUACAUGUGGAUGUCAUGUCAGCAAGGUUAAAAAAACAUUAACAUUUCUUUUCAUUUAGAGGUAAUUUAACAAAAAAACUCAAGUUUAAAGGUUAAAAAGGUAAAAAUAAAUAAAUGAAAGGAUUUUUUUUUUAAGUUGGAGGACCAAAUAAAUCAUUAUAUAUUUAAAAUUUAAUUUGAAUUUUUACAAACUAAAUACUUUAGUUUUUUAUGUAAUAUUUAGUUUAUCCUUUUAAUUUUUUUGUUCGAAUAUUCAAUUUUUUUCUCUCUUGACUCUGAUUUUUUAAUCAUUUUAUUUUUUAAUAAUAAAAAUAUAUAAAACAUUAAUAAUUAAAAAAAUAUGAGACAAAUAAAAAAUUUAUAGUUUUUUUUAGUAGAAAUGACUGAUAUUUAUUAAGCACACGACUCAAGGUGGGUAGGCAAAAGUUUACAGCAAAAUACAAAAUGAAAAGACAACACAGCAGCAGGCCAAACGGCCAAAAACAACUAAAAACCGCACACUGGAAAAACAAAACCAUAAAUGCAAGUGAUCCAAAACCACCCUAAACCAAAACCAAGACAGUUCACAAUCAGAAUACCAGCCGAAACAACUUUCUCCUCCUACGUAAAAAGACGAUCUAGAGAUGAGUAAAAGGAAACCCAAAAGCUUUGAGUCCAGCCAUGGAGAUUCAGAGAACCUUCUCCACAAUUAAAGCAAUCUACAAUGAACUUUGGUGUCUCUGUGUCCAAACCAUCCAAUCAUUUUCCACUAUCAUCUUUACUGAAACCGGAACCCCGUCAACCCAAAUACUAGAACUUUGUCUUCUCCUUCCUUCGAUUGCCAAAGUAUGGGCUGCUCUAUUGACCAGUCGGGGAACAAAAAGGUAACUAACUUCUUCAAAGCAAUUUUCCAAAUUACGAAUAUGAUGAAUAAUAGAUCUAAGAAUCGAUUUAUCUUCUUCCUUUAUCUUAAGUUUUUUUUAUGACCGUUAGAGAAUCCCUUUCCACAACCAAGCACCGGAAACCCAUUCUAAAAGCAAAGAGCAAAGCCCUUUCACAUGCCCUUGCUUCAGCCACGAACGCGUCGACAACGUCCUCAAAUAGAUAAGUUUCUGCUCCUACAAUUUCUCCUUUAGAACCUCUAGCCAAAAUUGUUGUUGUAAAAGUUCUAGAGUCACUUUGAAAGGUUGUGUUAAAAUUUAAUUUGAUAAAACCCAAAUCUGGAGGACUCCAAAAUUCUUUCGGAAGAGAUCUACAAGAAACUCCCAGCUUCUCUUGGCAUAGACUUAUUUCUUGACCAUAGCCUCGAAUGAAACCUAACAGAUCCUGCAAAGAAAAUUUAACACCUUCAUGAAUCAACUUAUUUCUUCUGUACCAUAGAGCCCAUAGGAAAAUUGCAAUAAGUUUAUUCUGUUCAUCUGCUACAAAGAAAGUAUUAACAAAAUGAUUUUUGCAGUUUAAAGUGCUAUCCAUUGGAGCAAUUCUGAUUUGAAGGGACGCCCAGACACUCUGUAGUAUACCAUAGGACCACAGAAGAUGAAUAGUAUCUUCUGGAGCUUCCUUACAAAGAUGACAAUCAACUUCAUCUGUAACGCCCCUAACCCGAAUUCGUCCCCGGAAUAGAGUUACGGAGUAUUACCGGAGUUACCGAUUUAUUUAUUAGAUAUUUUAUUUCAUCUAACGUUCAUAUUUGGAACAAAUUAAAAUCAAUCAUAUUGUGCCUUAAACAUAUUUAUUUUUCUCGACAUGUUUUACUUGAAUUUAUUACUUUUCUCAAUAUACUUAAUUUCCUUGUAUCAACGUAUCAAAAAUAAUCACAUAUUGACAUAUUAUGAUAAAUAUCAUUCUUUAGUCAUUUCUUCAAAAACAUAAAUAAGGUAAUUCAUUAUAUUGAUAUUUCAUGCAUUUAAAAAUAAAAUUAUUACAAUUUAAUCCUUAUUUCCAGUCGUUAUUCUCAUACAAAUUGAUAACAACUCAUAUAUUCUAUAAAUUAUCAAAAUUUUUCAUAAUUUUAAAACUUUUCAAUUUAAUUCUUAAAACAUGUUUUUUCUCGAUUUUGAACUAAAUUAAUAAUUUAUUUAAUUUUGUAAUUUUAAAUAAUAAAAUAAUUCGCUUCAUGCAAAUUGGUCAUUUUUAACAUUUUUACAAAAUUAUCCAUAAAGUUUUACUUUUAUUCAAUUUAGUCCCUGAGCCUAAAACAUGCAAAUUAGUUAUGCUAGUUGAAUAUUCAUACAUAUUUUCCUCCUCCUACUCUCCAUUCCACAUCCUUAAUUUAUAUAAUAUGCUUAUAAGUAACAUUAUCUAUAAUUUCACUAUUUACUUAUAUGUAUAUUCAAAGCUGUCCAUUUGAGUCAUAGUCACUAAAUUAUUUAUAUCUUGAGCUACAGAACUCCAAAUUAAGAUCCGUUAAUUUUACCUGAAAUUAGACUCACAUUUAUUCUUACCAUAAAAUUUUUAUAAUUUUUGGUUUAGCCAAUUAGUACAGUUUAUUCAUUAAAUUAUCCCAUGUUUUGCUAUUUGACAGUUCUGACCACUCUUCACUAAAUUUUAAUUAUCUCUUUAAACAGAAUUCGAAUGAUGUUAUCAUUUGUUUCUUAUAAAAAUAAACUAAUUAAGGAAUCUAACCAUGUAAUUUAUGUCCCAAAAUUAUUUUUUUAUAAUUUUUAAUGAUUUUUUAAAGUCAGAAUAGGGGAUCUCUAAAUCAUUCUGAACCAGUCUCACAAAAAUAUAAAUAUCUCAGAAUACAGAAUUCCUUUACUUUCUCUAUUUCUUGUAUAUGAAAAUAGACUCAAUAAGCUUUAAUUCCAUAUCUCACUUAGCUUUUAAUUAAAUUUAUACCAUUUUUUGUGAUUUUUAAAAGUUAGCCUAUUGUUGCUGUCCAAAACUACUUUAGUGCAACAUAUUGAUUACCAAGUUUAUAACACUCUUAUUUCCAUUCUCUACCAUAUUUCCCAUUAUUCUCUCAUUUCCCUUCACUAAUAUAUCAAGAACAUAGAUCCUUAUAUAAUAAAACUCUACCUUAACAUCAUUUUCAUGGUUUUGAUAUUACCUUACAUGAGAAACUCUACUUAAAAUAUAUUGAAACCUUAAAAUUCUUACCUUGUCCCAUUGAUUUUAAUCUUUAACUUGAUUUUUCUCUCUCCUCCAACUUCUAUUUCUUAAAUCCAACUUGAUAUUCGAACUCCCCUUAGUCUCCUUAACAUUUUUCUCUCUUGGUAGCUAUGAAAAUUCUUUUGAUUUUUAGGUGAAAAGAGUGAAUUUUUGGUGGAAGGACUAAAUUGUAAAGAAAGCAAAACUUUCUUUCUUCUCUUUUCUUCUAACGUGAAAUGCAUGGAGAAAGAUGGAUGAUGUAUAUAUUCUUUUUCCACACACACACACGCACAUAUAUAUAUAGACUAAAUAAAAUAAUAAAAUAAUAAAAUAUCUUAUUAAAAUAUUAAAUAAAUAACAAUUAUCUAAUUAAAUAACUAUAAAAUAUCACCAACAUCAUCAUUACUUUCUAGAUUUCUCUCUCUUCUAAUUGACCAUUUUGCCCUUUGUGAUCUUUUAAAAUUCUAUUCUUGAGUCAUCACUUAAUUUGGUAAAAUUUCAAUUUAGUCCCUCAUAAUUCUUCACCUAUUCAAUUUGGUCCUUAUUCAUCAAUUUUCCUUGGUUUCUAGAUCAUUCCACCCUUAAAAUAUUUGCACUAUUAGUCCUUCAACUUUUUCAUAUUUACACUUUAAUCCCUCAAAUUUUGAGUAUUUACUCUUGGGCCACAAAACUUUUAUCACUUUUACAAUUUAGUCCUUUCUUGAAUCAAUAUGUCAUAAUAUACUUCCCAAUGACAUAACUCAAUUUUCUUCUUCUUGUCACUUUAUUUCCUUAUUUUACUGUAUUAAGGAUAAUAUCUUACGGUAAAAAUUUUCAAUGUGUUACAUCAUCUCUCAAAGUUCUUUGGAACAAAUUACUGUAAUGAGGCAGAAAAUUGUUAAGCAAUCUCUAGAUAUGUAUUUUAAUUUUUGCUGGGAUGUGCAUAGGCCAAAAAGACUUGUAAAAAUCCUCGUAAACCUCAAUAUUAGUAGUGAUGUAAUUAGUGUUCUGAAGAUGUUUUGUAACUAGGACCCGAUAUCCACUUUUCACUGAGUAUUCCCUAGUGCCCUCAUGCUUCCAAACUAGCAUAUCCUCUGAACUAGCCCCAGAUAGCGGGAAGGAAAGAAUGCUAUUUGCCUGAUCUCCAUCCACAAUGUUGCAAUCCAACUCAUUGUUCUAGGUGUUGGUCUCAGCCUUGAUUAACCGAGUCACUAUCGUCCAGUUCGGAUUCAUGUUUUGAACUGAUAUUCUGUUGUUCUCUACUCCAGGCAGCCAAGGAUCAUUCCAUAUAUUUACGCUAGCUCCAUUACCAAUUCGCCUCAAAAUUCCAUCGGCAAUCAGAUCCCAAGCACUGUAAAUGCUCUUCCAGGUAAACGAUGGGUAAAAGCCUAUCUUUGUUGAUAAUAUGUCUGAAUGAGGAUAAUAACGAGCUUUAAGAACUUUAGCUAAAAGAAAAUUGGGCUGGGAUAAAAAACGCCACACUUGUUUUGCUAAUAAGGCUUUAUUAAACAAAAACAGAUUUUUGAAACCCAGCCCACCAACAUUUUUUGGUUUACACAAAGCGUCCCAAUUACUCCAAUGGAUACCCUUAGUCGAUUUAUUAUUAGACCACCAAAACUUGUUCAUAAUACCUUCAAGUUUUCGACAUAAUAUUUUCAGCAAAACAAAACCUUGCAUAACGUAAACCGGUAUAGACUGUAAAACUAAUUUAACGAAAACUUGUUUUCCCCCCAUUGAUCAGUAGCGUAAGCUUCAACCUUUGAUACGUCUUCUAAACCAAUGGAUAAAGUUGGCAAAAGCCCAAGUCUUUUUCCGUCCAACCAUCAUAGGCAACCCUAAGUACUUCUCAGGGUUUGAAGCUACCCUCACACCCAAGACAUUAAUUAUGGUGUCCUUGACAUUUACAUCUACAUUAGCCCCAAAGUAGAUCAGUGACUUAUCAAAAUUCACCCUCUAACCCAAAAUCAUCUCGUACUCUCUAAUAAUAUCUUAGACCACAUUAGCUCCCUCGUUAUAAUCAUCUCCAAAAAGAAUACAGUCGUUUGGGAAGAACAAGUGGUUGAUCGAAAAUAUUUCCCUACCAACAGAAGCCCCUCUCAUCAGACCCUUUUGCUUUGCUUCGUUAAUUAGUGUUGAAAAACCCUCUACACAAAUAAAAAAGAGAUAAGGGCUAAGUGGAUCUCCCUGUCUUAAGUCUCUUGAAGGUGAGAACCACUCACCGUUCGAACCAUUAAGGCUCACCGAAUAGGAGACAGAACAAACACAUCUUAUAAUAAGAACAAUCCAAUCAGCAUGAAACCCCAAAUGAGUCAUCAUUUCGGCCAAAAAAUCCCAUUCAACACGAUCACAUGCUUUACUCAUAUCGAGUUUAAGCCAAAAUUUCCCUUCUUUGCUUUCUUCUUCAUUUUCAAAGAAUAAAUGACCUCAUAAGCAAUAAGCACAUUAUCUGAAAUAUGUCUUCCUGGCUAAAAGCCCCUUGAGCUUCAUUAAUGCAGUUUCCCAAAAUAGCACUCAUACAAUUCACCAAGAUUUUCAUGAUAGUUUUGUAAACUACGUUACAAAGACUUAUGGGUCUAAAUUGUGAGAGAUUUUUCUGUUUGUGGACUUUAGGGAUCAAAAUAAUACGGGUUUUAUUACUAUCUCCCAUUUCAGAUUCACCAUUCAAAAUAGAUAAGCAAUAACUAGAAAUUUUAGAUUCAAAAAUAUGCCAGUACCUUUGGAAAAAAAUUACUGAAAAGCCAUCAAUGUCGGGAGCUUUCAAUGGUGCCAUCAUCUUAAUAGCAUAGGAGAUAUCCUCCUCAAUAAAUUGUUGAAGUAAAAAAUCAUUCAUAUCAACAGUAACUCUUUUUUCCACUAACCCGAAUACACUCUCAUCUGAACCCAUAUCCGAAGUUGAAAACAAGUUACCAAAAAAAUCUGAAGCAAGCUUUAGCAUCUCCUCAGUCAUGAAAAUCCUUGCGCCAUUUGUCCCUUCUAACUCAUUGAUUCAACCACGGAGCUGGCGUUGAACAGCUACUUAAUGAAAAUAACUAGUAUUUCUGUCUCUAUUUUUUAGCCAAUUGACGCGAGCUUGUUAUUCCCAAAAAAUUUCUUGCUGAUCAGCCUCUAAGUUAAGGCCUAAUUGAACAUCUAUGAUUUCAGCAAGAAUCUUCUCUGUUGGUUCCCGAUUAUAAAGACAGUUUUGUAUCAACCCAUUUUUGAGUCAAAUCAGAACAGUGGUUUCAAGACCACAAAUCUGAAGUAGAAAUAUUUAUUUUAUUAUUAUUUUAAGGUCUACAAUAUGAUAUAAUAAUUGUGUGAAAAAUUCGUUAAGAAAUUUUAUCGAUUGAGUACUCAAUUAGACUAGAAGGACUAAAUUGCAAUAGAUGCAAAACUUGAUUCUAUAAGUUAAAGGUGUAUAAUUGCUAUGAAAGUUUAAAUUAGAGGUCCUUAAAUGGUAAUUAGACCAUUAUACUCCUUAAUGGACAAAAAUGGACAUGGUUAGGUGAAUUUCCAAAGUUUUGCAUUAAGAGUAUUUUGGUAAACUAGUAAUUAAAUGAUUUAGUAAGUUAAAAUAAAGUCAAAAUUUUUAUUCAUCUUCAUUUUUGUAGCCGAAUUUUCAAGGGAAUCCAUAGCUAGGGUUUUGGCCACUUUCAAGCUUGAUUGUAAGUCCAUUCUUGCCUCGUUUUUAAUGAUUUUUACUUUUUUGAGAUCGUUGUAACUUGAUUUAGCUAUUUCAAGGACUCAUUUAAGGAAGGAUUAAAGUCUAAAAUUUGACCCAUGAUGAAUAUUUAUGUACUUUGAUGUUUAAUGGUAGAAAAUGUAUGUUUGAUGUUAGAUAAACAACAUUUACAAAGUGACUUUUGAUGAAAAUGUCAAAAAGGGGACCUAUUUGUAAAAGGUUCUAAAAUGUGUGGUAAAUUUUGAAUAAAUGAAAAAUAUAGGCUGUCAUGAGCAUGAAAAAGGUUCAGCUAGGCUUGGGUUGUGAAGAAAUUGAAAGAAAUUCAUUUUACGAGCCUAAGGACUAAAUUGUAAAAUGUUAAAAAGUUAGGGGUAAAAAUGUAAAUUUUACCAUAAUUGUUUCUAGGCUAAAUUUAAUAAUGUGAUAAUUAAAUAAGUUAAAUUUGACAUUAUAGGUCAAGAAAAACGAAGUUUGGAUCUAGAUUGGGGGAAAAAUAAAGUAAUUGACAAACAGGUCCUUUUUGUCAUUUUUGUAACUGAGGUAUGUAUUUUAAAUGCUUUAAUUUAUGCAUGAAUUGUGUAAUCGACCUUACGGACACAUUUGACUACAAUUUGGCAAGUGAGAAAUCCCAAUUGAACCUUAGGAAUAGACUAGGAUACGACUGACAUGUCAAUAGGGUUUUAUGUUAUGAGAUCUGGGUGCUGGUCCUGUACGUCCUAUCGAUGGCUGCGUAUACUAGCAUAUGUUGCAGUUACUUGACAACUUGUGUGGCAGCACCAAGUAGCUACGUCUUGAUUGACAGCUUGUGUGAGCAGGCCCGUUAAUGGCUCGAGAGCGAGCAUAUAUGUGUUAUGAGAUAGUGGUAGCAAUGGCUACAUAUGUGAUACCUUGUGUAUGAGAUUUCUCGAGUAUCCGACAUUUUUAUUCCGAGUGGUUCAUUGGAUAUGCUAACGAUGAGACUAAGUAUGAAAUUAUUACGAAGAUGGUACAGGUAUGUACUUAAAGCUUAUGAUUAUAAAUUCAUGAAAUAACAAUUUCAAGGUAAGUUGAGAUGGAAGUAAAUUAUGUUCAUCAGAUUAUGGUAAAUUACAUUAUCUUAAGUUAUACUACUUGCAUGUUAAUGUAUGGUAAGGUUUGCUUAUUUCUUUCAUACGAGCUUACUAAGCUGUAUAGCUUACUCCGUUUUAUUUUCCAUGUUUUAUAGUGUCACCAAGCUAACUCGGAUUGGAGAUCGUCGGAGUUCACAUCACACUAUCAAAAUGUUAUUUUAGGUACCGAUGAUUUUAAACAUUUUGAGAAUAUAGCAUGUAUAGAGACUUGGUCAUUUUGUUAUAUGUGUCGUUAUGAAUUUGGCCAAAUGUAUUGGCUUAUAAUUGUCAAAGUCGUGAUGUGGUUUAUAAAUGCUUGAUAAAUGGUUGAAUGUGACUUAAUGGUUUUGUUGUUGAAUGGGUAAGAUUGGCUCAUUGGUACGCUAGGAAAACUAAGUAAAAUUAUGCAUGUUAUUGGUAGCCAUGUUGAAACUUAUAGAAUGUGAGUUUGGUAUGAUUUGGUUUGGAAAAAUAUGUUGUGAUAAAUAUGUUGAGUGUGGAUAAUGAAAUGAAAUGAUUUGGCCUUGUUUUGUGGAUGUUUUGGUUGCCUAAGUAUGCCAUAAUUUAUGCCAUUAAGAUGGUGGAUGUGUAUGUGCAAAUUAGGGUGACAAAUGGCUCGGUAAAUAACCUUUAUUUUGUCCAUAUGGGCAGACACACAGGCGUGUGUGAUACACAGCUUGUCUUAUGGGCAUGUGUUUCGGCCGUGUGUCCCCUACACUUUAAUUUUGAGAAACGGAAUGCUUAGAAUUGAGCACAUGGGCAGAGACACAGGCGUGUGUCUCAGCCGUGUGAGGGACACAGCCUUAGGCAUGGGCGUGUGUCUCGACCGUGUGAAGUCUGCACAUAUUUUAUGAAAAUUAAAUUAACCACACGGCCUAGCACACAGACGUGCGACUUGGCCGUGUGACUUCAAUUUGUUCAUGCAUUGUAAGUCAGAGAGUUACACGGGUUAGGGACACAGGCGUGUGUGACCACACGGCCUGCCCACACGUACGUAUAACCGUUGUACAUAGCAAAAAUUUUCUAAGUUUUGUAAAAAUUUCCUGAUUUAUCGGUUUAGUCCUGUACCACUUCUAAAGCAUGUUUUGAGCCUCGUAGGCUCGUAUUAAGGACAUUAUGAUUGAAUACAAAUGGUUUUUAUUUAGAUGUAAAUGUAUGACUCGAUUUGUAUGUUUGCUUGCGAUAUAAGUCCAGUAAUGCCCCGUACCCUGUUCCGGCGUUGAAUACGAGUAAGGGGUAUUCCAAGUUUAGUCUUUCUUCAUGAUCCACACGGUUUUUCUUUUGCUCUCUAUUCUUGGAUCUACUCCACUUCUGAAGCUGCUGUCCUAAUCUCACAAGCUUAUCCGGGACACUUCUUGAAAUAUCAGCCCAAUUUCUUUUUAUCUCCUCCUCAAAAGAAUUAUCUAAACGCCAUUUGGUCUCAAACCGGAAAAGAUUGUCUUUAUUAAAUAGAUUAUUCCUUUGCUUUCCCAUGGUAUCGAAAAGAAUCGGACAAUGAUCUGAGAAAGAGUGAUUCAAGUGUUCUAAUUGGUAGCUAGGACAAAAAUUUACCCAAUUCAAGGAUGCAACACCUCGAUCCAGCCUCUCCCUUAUGUUUAUAGUUAACCAUAAAGUAUAAUGUGAUAAUUGAUUAUCUUAUCCCUUAAUCAUGAGAUUAGAAGCUUAAUCUUUACUCAUAAGAAUGGAGUACAUUUUAUAGAUGGAGCAUCCGCGAUAAAGCGAUUAAUCACUGUUUUCGAUAAUAAAGUUUUUUUUUACUAAAAAAAUUCUAUAAUUAAUUCAAUCACCCAUAAUUGUAAAAUUUUUAUUAAAAUUUCUAAACGUUGGUUUCUAUUAAUAAAAAUAUAUUUAAUUAAUUAAAAAUAUAUUUAAAAUUAAUUUAUUCAAAGCGUUAAAAAUAUACCUUAUAAAUAAAAAUAAAAAUAAAAAAUUCACAAUUAAAAGUUAAAAUAUGAUAUGAAGAUAGAGAGCAAGAUUUUGUAUUUACCCUUUCCACAAUUAGAAGAAAAACAAAUAUUUAAUCAUCGAAUUUGUGAAUCAGCGUCAGAUAUUUUGGUAUCCAUAUAACAUAAAUUAUAAUUUAAACUCCACACUUUUUUGCGCUUUUCUUCGUCAAGAAGCCAUCGAACGACGCUAAACCAAUCAACGGAGAUGAUAGCAUAAAUUGAAUUUGAAUAAAAUAUUCAUUAAAAUUGCAUUUAGCUCGCGAUGGCCUCGUACGACACAACGCGCGAUGUUUGAUCCCAACUGAAACUUGUGGCCUGCCUCGUUGCCACGUUUAAAAUUGCAAGCAGGCUUAAGUGUCGUGCGAUUAGAACGAGCUCAAUUAAUGUUUGCAUUAUUUUAUUUUAAUAUUUAUUUGAUAUCGUUUUUAGACUUUACACCAUGUAAAUAUAAUACAAUAUAAUUGGGUUUUUUUUUCAUAUUUAUAUGUACAUAUUUGAGUUAUAAUUCUUAUUUAGCAAAAUAGUUAGGUGGCUCAGUUAUUUAAUAAAUUAGUUGAGUACGCAAAAAAGAGAGGUAAAGGUGGCAUUUGGAGUACCGAUUUCAAUGGUAUAUGAGAAUCUUUGUUAUCCAAAUUUUGAUGGCGGAUGUUGUAAUUUUGUGCUUCUGCUUAUACAUGUAAUUAAAGACAUAUAUUUCAACACAUGGAGAUGAUCCAAUAAAAACUCUGCAUUCCUACAUGAUACAUGUUUAAUGUUUAUAUAUAUAUAUAUAUAUAUAUAUAUAUAUUAUUGUUUUUUAAAGCAAUUUUUAUGUUUCCCAUCUAAGUUAUUGGUUUUAAUCCUAGAUCAGUAUAUUUUUAAGUUAAAGUUAUCGUUUUUAUGAGUAGCUAGUAUAUCCUGUAAAAUUUUAUGCCAAUUUUUUAAUAUUAAUUUCUUUAUAGAUUUUUAUCAUAUUUAUUUGUUUUUAUACAAUUUUUAGAAUUAUUCAUAGCUCCUCUUCAAUUUUUAAAUAGAAGGAUAAUGUACUUCAAUACAGGAGGAAUAAUGUCGAUAUCAAUCGAGCUAAGUCUCAAUUGAUAAUUUUAUUCCAAUUUUUUAAGUGUGAUAUCUAUUUAAUUCUAAAUCAACUAUGAUUAAUCAAACAAGGAAGGUACUAAUGCACAUUGCAAGUAUUCAUCCCCACGAGAUGAUGCGGAAGCUAAUCAAGUGGUGUGGAGGUCAAGAGCGAAGCAAAAAUAUUUCUUUAAGGGGGAAAAAUAAAUUUUUAAUUUUUAAUAGUCUAUAUCUUUAUAAUUUUUAAAGGAUUAAAUUAAAUUUUCAUAAUUUUAGAGGACCAAAAUGCAAUUUUACCUUUACUAAUUUAAAAUUUUAAAAUUUUCUAAAGAAAUAAAACAACAAUUUUCUGUUUUAGGGGGCCGGGCCCCUGCCAGCCCCUUACAUUCGCCUCUGGUGGAUGUUGACAGAAAAUGGUCAAUGCACAGUGGCCACUGGCUAUAGUAAAGUUGCGCAUAACGGAUUGUAACACCCCGAACCCGAAACCGACACCGGAGUCGAACACGAGGUGUUAACUGGCUUUAACCCCUUACAAAAUUUAUUUUCCAGACACUGCCCAAUCUGUGUACUAGUCGUUUUAAAAAUCAUAUCUUGAGUUUCGUAACUCGAAAAUCAGUUUUGUAAUUUUUCCCCGAAACUAGACUCAUGUGCCCAUCUAUGUAUUUUUUUCUAGAAUUUUUGGUCGGGCCAAUUAGUACAGUUUAUUAGUCAAAGUCUCCCAAGUUGCAGGGGUCGACUACACUGACCUUUGCCCAUUACGACUUGGAUAUCUCCCAGCACGGGGCUUCAAUACUGUUGCCGUUUGUUUCUAUGAAAACUAGACUCAGAGAGGAAUCUGUACAUAUAUGGUACGACCCCUAAUUAUCUCUGGUUAAUUUAUAAUGAAUUUCCAAAGUCGGAUCAGGGAAUCCAGAAACCGUUCUGGCCCUGUCCCACUAAAAUCUGAUUAUCUCUUAAUAUACUGCCCAUAUGAUCUUUUCGUUACCUCCUCAUGAAAGCAGACUCAUCGAGCUUCGAUUACAUAAUUUAUUCAUCAAUUAAUUCCACUCCUACUAUUUUUAGUGAUUUUUCAAUCUCAUGACACUGCUGCUGCCAGCAUCUGUUACGAAAGUAACUAGGUCCAUUUCAUGCCUACCCUUGAUCCAAUUCAAUCGAACAUUCGUGCCAUUUUCGCAUGGCUUAAAGUUUACAUGCCAUAAUUCAAACACAACGUACUAGCUUAUACAUGCCAAAAUGAUCUUCUAAACACACUAAGAAGAAAGUACCAAAACUUGCUAUCCGGUGUGAUGACUUCGAUGACGGCCCGACCCCGCAAAAAUAGAUGAGUCCAAGCAACCUAUAAUGGGUGACAAGGAAACAUCGAGUGACUUUAUAACUCAGUAAGUCAUAAGCAAUGCACAACCAUCUAUCGACAACAUUAUCACAAGAGGAAACAAAAUAGAACGAGACAAUUUACUCCAUCCAUACCGAACCAUACCAUAGUUCCUCCAACCUCUCAAUUCAAUUUCAUAUCAAUUCAUGCAUUCACAUUCUAUAUACUCAUCAAUAGGACAUUGAAGCAAUUUCAUAAAUCAAUUUAUUUUCGUUACAAUCAAACGACUAUACGGCCUUUCACCCAUCCUACGAUAAAUUUUAUGUACGUGACUUCAAGUAUAUAUGUCACAUAGGUUCGAACUUACCGAGCUCAACACCAAGUAUAAGCAUAGCACCUAUUAACCACGUGCUCAAGACACUUACCCGACCCGCUGUCCGCGAUCGACUCAAUAGUGUCGCACAAAUAGUGUCCAUAAUGAUUCACGAAUGUAUAUUGAGCCCGCACACUCAGUGCUAUACAAUCAACUCGCACACUUAGUGCCACGUAAUCAAAUCGCACACUUAGUGCUACAUAGUUAGACUCGCACACUUAGUGCCGCAUGGUCAAUUCGCACACUUAGUGCAUCAUAUUCAUUUCGCACACUUAGUGCAACAUAGUCGAAUCGCACACUUAGUGCUGUACAAUUUAAUCCCGCGCACUUAGCGCCAAUCUCAUGGUCAUAAAUGGUUAUCCCGCACGUUUAGUGCCAAGAUCAACAACUCAGUACAUCUUACCUCUUUUCAUUCAUUCAACAAUUUCAUCCUCACAUACGUACAUGCAUAUAUAUAUAUGUAUAUUUAUUCAUUCCAAUCAGCAUCAAUACAUACACAUUAUGACCAUUUGAAAUAAUACCCACUACAUGCUUAAUGACUUACCUCGUGUUGGGUAAGACGGUUCCAACUCGGCUACUCGAUAACCUUUUCUUUGCCUUUGCUCGAUUCACCUCCUUUAACUCCUUGAGCUAAAUCAAUAAUUUAACUAGUUUAACCACCUUGCUAAAUAUUUACAAUCCAAUUUCACAUGUAUAUGUAUGAUAGUAUAUUCGACCAAUAGCCUCAUGCAACUACCAAAGCCGAAUCAACUAAAUAUACUUAUGAAUAUAUAUAUAUAUAUCAUCAUCGAAAUCACCUAAGCUUAGACAUCAAUUUUUAAUUCCAAGCAAGUUGCCGAAUGCAACCUUACUAAAUUUUCAUGGAUUCAAUAUACCAUUACCAUGGAAUCAACAACUAAAAAUUCAUAGACAAUUUAGGAAAAUCACAUUACAAAUCUCACAUUCAAGCAAAGACCAUGGCCGAAAUGCAUGUAUACAUGUACAAUGUCAACUAUAACAUCAUUUAAACACCUAAUUUCAUCUCAUGAACACUUAAUCGAGUUUUCCUAAUCUAGCAUAUUUUCACAUCUAUUUGUAACAUCAUGUAAGUCCACAUAUAACUACAUUUCUUAAGUCCCACAUCUUAAUGCCCAUUAUAGCCACUCCCCUAGUCUAAAUCUAGCAAUCGGCAACACCACCUUUCCACUAUGUUAGCCGAAUACUCAUUCUCUUCCUAGUCCUAAGUUCGGCACCUCCAACAAAAUAGCUUAACAAUUUUCAACUUUCAUGCUAACAUAACAAGCAACUUAACACAACCAUAUAACUAGCAUGCUAAUAGCAUCAAGGUAUCAACUAGUUUUUAUUUUUAAACUCCUUAGCCGAAUCCUAACUCUCCAACAACCCCAAAUCCAACCAUGGAAUAGAUAGAAUCUAGACUCAUCACCCCAAAGGUAGGGUAAGCUUCCAAAAAUAUCAUUGAACAUACAUUGGUCUAAAGGACCACAUUGGCCGAAUCUUGCUUCCUCUUCUUCCUCUAGUUAGAACAAUUGCAAAAGAAAGAAAAUAUGAACACUCCUUCUUCCCUCCUUAUUAAGCAUUCAAACUCUCUCAUUUUUUUCAUGCCACAACAUCAAACACUCUCCCUAGGCACAAGCAAUGGCCGAAUUCCUUCCAAGUUCUUUUCUCCCCUUCUUUUUCUUGGUUUUUCGGCUAGGAGAUGGCAAGUAUGACACCCAUUUUUUUUUGUUCCCUUUUUCUAUUAUUAUCCCCAUCAUUUGUUCACCAAAGAAACAUAUUAAAUUAGAAUGAGUGGAGCAUCAUCACUCCUUGGCCGGCCACCAUGAAUUUUAUGGGCAAAUUGACAUGCAAAGCCAUGCUUCCUCAACCUAUUAUUAAUUAAUCCUUAUAAUUCAUCUAUCAUCUUUUCUAACUUCGUCAACUAGGUCCUUUUUGAAUGAAUUCACAAUCCUAAUGCUAAUAUUAAGCAUUUAAUUUCUCAUACAUUCACUGUCACACAACAAUUUAUGCAAUUAAAACACGAAAAUAAAUUUUUGGCUCGGUAAUGUGGUCUCGAAACCACAUUCCGACCAGGGUCUAAUUUGGGUUGUCACAACUCUCCCCCACAUAAGAAAUUUUCGUCCCCGAAAAUCUUACCGGUAAAUAGGUUUGGGUAUCGUUCUUUCAUCGAGCUCUCGGUUUCCCAGGUUGCUUCCUCGAUCCCGUGUUUAAGCCACAACACCUUAACCAACGGAACCCUUUUAUUUCGCAACUCUUUCACUUCACGAGUUAGGAUACGAAUCGGUUCUUCUUCAUAGCUCAUAUCAGCCUGAAUUUCAACCUCCGACGGACUAAUUAUGUGCGAAGGAUCAGAUCUAUAGCGCCGAAGCAUCGAAACAUGAAAGACGUCGUGAAUCUUUUCAAGUUCAGGAGGCAAAAUCAAUCUAUAUGCAACCGGCCCCACUCGUUCGGAAAUUUCGUACGGCCCAAUGAAUCUCGGGCUCAACUUGCCUUUACGGCCAAACCUGAGUACCUUUUUCCAAGGCGAAACUUUGAGGAACACUUUAUCUCCCACCUGAUAUUCAAUGUCCUUCCGUUUCAGAUACGCAUACGAUUUUUGACGAUCUGUAGCUACCUUCAGACUUUCACGGAUUACCUUUACUUUCUGUUCGGCAUCUUUAAUCAAAUCAACUCCGAAAAUUUUACUUUCACCGAGCUCGGUCCAAAACAAUGGCGUUCGGCAUUUACGACCGUACAAAGCCUCGUAAGGUGCCAUCUUAAUACUUGAUUGAAAACUAUUGUUGUAAGCGAAUUCAAUCAAAGGUACAUACCGUUCCCAUGAACCACUAAACUCAAGGAUGCAGCAUCUCAGCAUAUCCUCGAGUAUCUGAAUUAUCCGCUCGGAUUGACCAUCGGUUUGGGGAUGAAAAGCGGUGCUAAAAUGCAGCUUGGUACCCAAAGCUUCUUGCAAUUUCUUCCAAAAUCGCGAGGUGAAUCUCGGAUCUCUAUCCGACACGAUAGAAAUAGGUACUCCAUGUAAUCUCACAAUCUGAGUAACAUACAAUUCGGCUAGUUUAUCCAAUGAAAAAUCCGUACGCACGGGGAUAAAGUGAGCCGACUUAGUCAGCCUAUCAACAACAACCCAAAUCGCAUCCUUCUUACUUGCGGACAAUGGCAGUCCGGACACAAAGUCCAUUGUGACUCGGUCCCAUUUCCACUCGGGUAUCAUGAUCGGCUGAAGUAAUCCUGAAGGCACUUGAUGUUCCGCUUUCACUUGUUGACAUAUUAAACAUCUCGAAACAAAGUCGGAGAUGUCUCGCUUCAUACCAUGCCACCAAAACCGACGUUUCAAGUCGUUGUACAUUUUCGUGCUCCCCGGGUGAAUUGACAUUCGGCCACAAUGGGCUUCGUUCAGAAUCAUCGGAAUGAGUUCUGAAUUCCUUGGAACGCACAAACGACUUCUAAACCUCAAACAACCAUCAUCAUCAAUCUGAAACUCCGAUUCCUUGUUCGGAACACACUCAGCUCGUUUUGCAACCAAUUCAUCAUCGACUUUCUGAGCUUCACGAAUUUGAUGAGUCAAUAAUGGUUUGGCUUUUAAUUCAGCUACUAACACAUUGUCAGGUAGAACAGACAAGUGUACAUUCAUCGCUCGCAAAGCAAACAGUGAUUUCCGGCUUAAGGCGUCCGCAACCACAUUAGCCUUUCCCGGAUGGUAAUCAAUGACAAGCUCGUAAUCUUUCAACAACUCAAGCCAACGUCUUUGUCGCAGAUUCAAGUCUCGUUGAGUCAUCAAAUAUUUGAGACUUUUGUGAUCCGAAAACACAUGGCACUUCUCACCAAACAAAUAAUGUCGCCAUAUUUUCAAUGCAAACACAAUGGCGGCUAGUUCGAGAUCAUGGGUCGGAUAAUUUCUUUCGUGUGGCUUCAAUUGUCUCGACGCAUAGGCCACAACUCGACCUUCUUGCAUCAAUACGCAACCCAACCCGAGUAGGGAUGCGUCACUAUAAACAACAAACUCUUUACCCGAUUCGGGUUGCACCAAAAUUGGAGCUUCAGUCAGAUGAGUUUUCAGUUGAUCGAAGCUUUUCUGACAUUUCUCCGUCCAUUCGAACUUAACAUCCUUCUGAAGUAGCUUCGUCAUUGGUGUGGCUAUCAUCGAGAAACCUUUGACAAAUCGUCGGUAAUAGCCGGCGAGCCCUAGAAAGCUCCGGACCUCGGUAACAUUUCUCGGAGGCUUCCAGUUAAGUAUGGCUGAAAUUUUGCUUGGGUCAACUCGAAUACCCGAUGCGGAUACCACAUGACCCAAGAAGCUAACCUCUCUUAACCAGAACUCACACUUACUGAACUUAGCAUAUAACUGCUUAUCCCGCAAAAUUUGCAACACUUGCCUCAGAUGCUCAGCAUGUUCGGUCUCAUCUCUUGAAUAGACCAAGAUGUCAUCAAUAAACACAACUACAAACCGAUCCAAAUACAGCCUGAAGAUCCGAUUCAUCAGAUCCAUAAACACCGCAGGGGCAUUAGUGAACCCAAACGGCAUCACUAAGAACUCGUAGUGACCGUACCUCGUUCUGAAAGCAGUUUUGGGUACGUCCGAAUCUCGAAUCCGCAACUGAUAAUAACCUGAUCUCAAAUCUAUCUUUGAAAACACCGAUGCUCCCUUUAAUUGAUCGAACAGAUCAUCAAUACGCGGUAACGGAUACUUAUUCUUUAUCGUCACUUUAUUCAAUUGACGAUAGUCAAUGCACAACCUCAUGGUUCCGUCCUUCUUUUUCAUGAACAAUACUGGUGCACCCCAAGGUGAGAAACUCGGUCGAGCGAAGCCUCUAUCCGUCAAUUCUUGCAACUGAGCUUUCAACUCUUUUAACUCGGUUAGUGCCAUACGAUACGGAGCGAUCGAGAUUGGCGUAGUUCCAGGUAUAAGCUCAAUUCCAAACUCUACUUCCCGAACAGGUGGCAAACCCGGUAACUCUUCAGGAAAAACAUCCGGGUAUUCACAAACCACCGGCACCGACUCGGGUUUCUUUUCUAACUCCUUGUCAUCAAGUACAUGCGCGAGGUAUGCUUCGCACCCUUUCCUUACAUAUUUCUGGGCCAACAUUGCUGAUAUUACAGCUGGCAACCCCCUUAAGUCCGCAGACUCAACUCGGAUUAUUUCGUCAUUCGCGCACCUCAAAUCGAUAGUCUUGCUUUUGCAAUUCACAACCGCAUCAUGCGCGGUUAACCAAUCCAAACCAAGAAUAACAUCAAACUCGUCGAACGGCAAAAGCAUCAGAUCGGCCGGAAAACAGGAUUUUCGGAUUAUUAGAGGGCAUCUCUUACACACUUUAUCAACAAGUACGCAUUGACCCAAAGGGUUUGACACUCGAAUUACUAGCUCAGUAGACUCAACAGGUAGAGUCUUACUGGAUGCUAAGGUUUCGCAUACAUAUGAAUGAGUAGAGCCAGGGUCAAUCAAUGCAAUCACAUUAGUAUCAAAGAGAGUGAAGGUACCAGUGAUGACGUCGGGGGAGGAUGCCUCCUCUCGUGCGCGAAUGGCAUACGCUCUAGCAGGAGUACGGUUCUCGGCGCGAUCGGUCGUAUCAGAGGCCCCCCUCUGACUACCACCCCUGCCUCCUAAAAUUCUCGGUGGUCUACCUCUAGAUGUCACUCCACUAGGUCUUGCACCUUGAAUCUUAUUCUUCUCAUCCAGCUCCGUGCAAUCUCUAAUGAAGUGGUCCUUCGAACCGCAUCCGUAACAGGCCCUGUUAGUAGACUUGCCCCAACAUUCACCUAGGUGUCGUCUUCCACAUUGGGGACAUUCAGGUUUCUCGUGACGAUUAUUGCCCACACUAGCUACCGAAGUAGCUCGGGAGCCCAUCGAUGGUCUUGCCCUGAUGGAAAUUCCCGCAGUCGCCCUCGACUUAUUAAUGUCCUCCCUGAACUUCUUCACAGCUGAGAACGGAGCUUUACCCGUCGAUCUUUUACGAUAAUCUCUAGCUUCAAAUUCAGCCUUCUUCUUCUCCUUUCCAAGUUCCUCCGCCUUGCAGGCUCGUUCGACUAGUGUUACGAAUUCCUUUAUUUCCAGAAUACCCAUUAGUAGCUUUAAAUCUUCGUUCAAUCCUUCCUCAAAUCUUUUGCACAUAGCAACCUCAUCAGCUACACACUCCCGGGCAUACCUACUAAGUCUUACGAAUUCAUGUUCGUAUUCAGAUACAGUCAUACGGCCUUGCUUGAGUUCCAAGAACUCCUUACGCUUCUGGUCAAUGAACCGUUGGCUAAUAAAUUUCUUCCGGAAUUCCGUUUGAAAGAAGUCCCAAGUUACUCGCUCGUUCGGGACUAUGGAAAUCAAGGUCCUCCACCAAUAGUAGGCUGAGUCUCGCAACAAAGAUACAGCACAUUUUAGACAUUCAUCGGGUGUGCAUGACAAUUCAUCGAACACCCGAAUGGUGUUAUCAAGCCAGAACUCGGCCCUUUCGGCAUCAUCAGUUACUAUGGCCUUGAACUCCUCGGCCCCACGCUUCCUAAUCAAGUCUACAGGUGGCUUACUCAGCCUCACAGGAUCAGCGACUGACGGCCUUACAGGCUCUUGGGGUGGGUUAUUCAAAUUUGGGAAUUGUUGGACAGCCGGGUUGGCUCGGGCAUAUUGCGCGACCCACUCAUUCAUCAUGGUAAAGAAGGCUUGUUUAGCCCCCUCACCUUGAUUAUUCGCAGAUGACUGAGGUUCAACAGGUGGCGUCCCUUGUGCAGGAGCAGUCGCUACGCUCUCAACGUCAUCCGCUAGGGUUCUUUCUUCACCGGGAUCCAUUUACUAAUCAAGACAAAAACAUUUCAACCGUCAGAAGUCAUCACCCUUUUAAACAUUAACAUUAUGGCAUGUAUAGCUAGACUCAUACGUGCUAUGGAAGUCCUAGAACCGACUAAACCUGGCUCUGAUACCAAUAAAAUGUAACACCCCGAACCCGAAACCGACACCGGAGUCGAACACGAGGUGUUAACUGGCUUUAACCCCUUACAAAAUUUAUUUUCCAGACACUGCCCAAUCUGUGUACUAGUCGUUUUAAAAAUCAUAUCUUGAGUUUCGUAACUCGAAAAUCAGUUUCGUAAUUUUUCCCCGAAACUAGACUCAUGUGCCCAUCUAUGUAUUUUUUUCUAGAAUUUUUGGUCGGGCAAAUUAGUACAGUUUAUUAGUCAAAGUCUCCCAAGUUGCAGGGGUCGACUACACUGACCUUUGCCCAUUACGACUUGGAUAUCUCCCUGCACGGGGAUUAAAUACUGUUGCCGUUUGUUUCUAUGAAAACUAGACUCAGAGAGGAAUCUGUACAUAUAUGGUACGACCCCUAAUUAUCUCUGGUUAAUUUAUAAUGAAUUUCCAACGUCGGAGCAGGGAAUCCAGAAACCGUUCUGGCCCUGUCCCACUAAAAUCUGAUUAUCUCUUAAUAUACUGCCCAUAUGAUCUUUUCGUUACCUCCUCAUGAAAGCAGACUCAUCGAGCUUUGAUUACAUAAUUUAUUUAUCAAUUAAUUCCACUCCUACUAUUUUUAGUGAUUUUUCAAUCUCAUGACACUGCUGCUGCCAGCAUCUGUUACGAAAGUAACUAGGUCCAUUUCAUGCCUACCCUUGAUCCAAUUCAAUCGAACAUUCGUGCCAUUUUCGCAUGGCUUAAAGUUUACAUGCCAUAAUUCAAACACAACGUACUAGCUUAUACAUGCCAAAAUGAUCUUCUAAACACACUAAGAAGAAAGUACCAAAACUUGCUAUCCGGUGUGAUGACUUCGAUGACGGCCCGACCCCGCAAAAAUAGAUGAGUCCAAGCAACCUAUAAUGGGUGACAAGGAAACAUCGAGUGACUUUAUAACUCAGUAAGUCAUAAGCAAUGCACAACCAUCUAUCGACAACAUUAUCACAAGAGGAAACAAAAUAGAACGAGACAAUUUACUCCAUCCAUACCGAACCAUACCAUAGUUCCUCCAACCUCUCAAUUCAAUUUCAUAUCAAUUCAUGCAUUCACAUUCUAUAUACUCAUCAAUAGGACAUUGAAGCAAUUUCAUAAAUCAAUUUAUUUUCGUUACAAUCAAACGACUAUACGGCCUUUCACCCAUCCUACGAUAAAUUUUAUGUACGUGACUUCAAGUAUAUAUGUCACAUAGGUUCGAACUUACCGAGCUCAACACCAAGUAUAAGCAUAGCACCUAUUAACCACGUGCUCAAGACACUUACCCGACCCGCUGUCCGCGAUCGACUCAAUAGUGUCGCACACAUAGUGUCCAUAAUGAUUCACGAAUGUAUAUUGAGCCCGCACACUCAGUGCUAUACAAUCAACUCGCACACUUAGUGCCACGUAAUCAAAUCGCACACUUAGUGCUACAUAGUUAGACUCGCACACUUAGUGCCGCAUGGUCAAUUCGCACACUUAGUGCAUCAUAUUCAUUUCGCACACUUAGUGCAACAUAGUCGAAUCGCACACUUAGUGCUGUACAAUUUAAUCCCGCGCACUUAGCGCCAAUCUCAUGGUCAUAAAUGGUUAUCCCGCACGUUUAGUGCCGAGAUCAACAACUUAGUACAUCUUACCUCUUUUCAUUCAUUCAACAAUUUCAUCCUCACAUACGUACAUGCAUAUAUAUAUAUGUAUAUUUAUUCAUUCCAAUCAGCAUCAAUACAUACACAUUAUGACCAUUUGAAAUAAUACCCACUACAUGCUUAAUGACUUACCUCGUGUUGGGUAAGACGGUUCCAACUCGGCUACUCGAUAACCUUUUCUUUGCCUUUGCUCGAUUCACCUCCUUUAACUCCUUGAGCUAAAUCAAUAAUUUAACUAGUUUAACCACCUUGCUAAAUAUUUACAAUCCAAUUUCACAUGUAUAUGUAUGAUAGUAUAUUCGGCCAAUAGCCUCAUGCAACUACCAAAGCCGAAUCAACUAAAUAUACUUAUGAAUAUAUAUAUAUAUCAUCAUCGAAAUCACCUAAGCUUAGACAUCAAUUUUUAAUUCCAAGCAAGUUGCCGAAUGCAACCUUACUAAAUUUUCAUGGAUUCAAUAUACCAUUACCAUGGAAUCAACAACUAAAAAUUCAUAGACAAUUUAGGAAAAUCACAUUACAAAUCUCACAUUCAAGCAAAGACCAUGGCCGAAAUGCAUGUAUACAUGUACAAUGUCAACUAUAACAUCAUUUAAACACCUAAUUUCAUCUCAUGAACACUUAAUCGAGUUUUCCUAAUCUAGCAUAUUUUCACAUCUAUUUGUAACAUCAUGUAAGUCCACAUAUAACUACAUUUCUUAAGUCCCACAUCUUAAUGCCCAUUAUAGCCACUCCCCUAGUCUAAAUCUAGCAAUCGGCAACACCACCUUUCCACUAUGUUAGCCGAAUACUCAUUCUCUUCCUAGUCCUAAGUUCGGCACCUCCAACAAAAUAGCUUAACAAUUUUCAACUUUCAUGCUAACAUAACAAGCAACUUAACACAACCAUAUAACUAGCAUGCUAAUAGCAUCAAGGUAUCAACUAGUUUUUAUUUUUAAACUCCUUAGCCGAAUCCUAACUCUCCAACAACCCCAAAUCCAACCAUGGAAUAGAUAGAAUCUAGACUCAUCACCCCAAAGGUAGGGUAAGCUUCCAAAAAUAUCAUUGAACAUACCUUGGUCUAAAGGACCACCUUGGCCGAAUCUUGCUUCCUCUUCUUCCUCUAGUUAGAACAAUUGCAAAAGAAAGAAAAUAUGAACACUCCUUCUUCCCUCCUUAUUAAGCAUUCAAACUCCCUCAUUUUUUUCAUGCCACAACAUCAAACACUCUCCCUAGGCACAAGCAAUGGCCGAAUUCCUUCCAAGUUCUUUUCUCCCCUUCUUUUUCUUGGUUUUUCGGCUAGGAGAUGGCAAGAAUGACACCCAUUUUUUUUUGUUCCCUUUUUCUAUUAUUAUCCCCAUCAUUUGUUCACCAAAGAAACAUAUUAAAUUAGAAUGAGUGGAGCAUCAUCACUCCUUGGCCGGCCACCAUGAAUUUUAUGGGCAAAUUGACAUGCAAAGCCAUGCUUCCUCAACCUAUUAUUAAUUAAUCCUUAUAAUUCAUCUAUCAUCUUUUCUAACUUCGUCAACUAGGUCCUUUUUGAAUGAAUUCACAAUCCUAAUGCUAAUAUUAAGCAUUUAAUUUCUCAUACAUUCACUGUCACACAACAAUUUAUGCAAUUAAAACACGAAAAUAAAUUUUUGGCUCAGUAAUGUGGUCUCGAAACCACAUUCCGACCAGGGUCUAAUUUGGGUUGUCACACAGAUGGCCUGUUUGAGAGAAAAAAAACGAGAUUUGGUUUGGAAGUUGAAUGUUCCACAAAGGAUUCGGCAGUUUCUUUGGUUUUUAUUACAAAAUCGCUACUCUCCAACUCUAAAAGAUGCAGAAGAGGAAUGUCGAAUAAUAAUUACUAUGACUAAUAUUUUAGCUUAUGCAAAAUUAGUUACUAUGGCUAACAGAAGAAGGCGUCAGAUGAUUGAUCAGGAAAGAAAUCGAAUUUGCUGGCAACCACCCCUCAAAGAGUAGUGUAAGCUGAAUACAGAUAGGGCUAAGCACUUACAGACAGAUAGAAACUCAGCUAGCAGUUUGCUUCCAAAUCAUAAAGGUGAAUGGAUUAUUGGGUAUAGUAGAAAUAUUUGUAUUUGUUCUAUAGUUGAAGCAGAACUUUAGGCUAUUAGGGAUGGGUUAGAUAUAGCAUAGAGGAGAGGAAUACAACAACUGUUAGUGGAGAAUGAUAGUUUAGUUCUAGUGAAUACAAUUUGUGGUCAAUCCAAGGAGGUUGGAUCAAACUUAGUGCGAAUCAUCAGAGAACAACUAGUAAGGGAUUGGCACAUUAAGGUAUCAUACACUCCAUGAUCAACAAAUAUGAUUGCAGAUUCUUUGGUAGAGUUAAGCAAGAAUGAUUUGGUUGGUCUAAAAAUUUAUGAAUAUCCUCUUAAUCAAAUUGCUAGGGGUGUGUUACUAGAAAGCAUUGGUGACUGCUACAAGUUUAAUCAUGGCUAGUUGUAAUUCGCUUCUUUAUUUGCCAAAAAAAAUUAUUGUUAAUAGAAUAUAAUUUUGCUUUUUAAUUAAAAUAGUAAAAAUAAUAUAAUUUUAUUUUGAUCCUUUAACACAUGUUAUAUCUUAUGUAGCGAGUCUCAUAGACCUUACAGUAUACUUUGCUAACCUCAAUGUGCAUCCAUAUAGAGCUAAACAUGUAAUAUCCUUAACUCGUAUCUGUUGCCGAAACAGGGUUACAGAGUAUUAUCAAAGUUUACAGAAUAAUUACAAAAAAUAUUCUCAUUUAUUAUUUAUAAUCGAGACUAAUCAUGUUGUCUCUUAAAUGGACCUUCGAGGCCUAAUUUAAGUAUUAUAAGCAAGUUGGGACUAUAUCGAGAACUUAGAAUUUUUUUUUCAAAAUUUCAAAAUUUUUCCUAGGUAUAGGGGUCAAAUGCCUGUGUGGCCAAGGGACACACCCGUGUGGUCCCAUGACAUGCCCGUGCUUCAGGCCGUAUCUUACCCAGUGUAACUCAUUAACUUGGGUUUCACGGCCAACCAUACGCCCGUGUGCUAGGCUGUGUGGCCAAUUUAUUUUCCUAAAAUUAGGUGCAGUUUUCACAUAGUAAAGCCACACACCUGUGUGCUAGGUCGUGUGCCUCACACGGCUGAGACACACGCCCAUGUCUCUGACCGUAUGCUCAAUUCUGAGCAUUCUAUUUCUAAACUUUAAGAUGCAGGGGAUACACGGCCAAAUUACACGCCUAUGUGCAUGGUCGUGCUUCACACAUGGCUGAGACACAAGCCCGUGUCUCUGUCCGUGCGGACGAAAAUAGGCCAUUUAAAGGCCAUUUUUCUCACCAUUUUCACAAUCAACAUGCAUACAACACUCUCAUAUACCAAUGUAACCAAUACAAGCCAAAAAUCAAAUUUUAGACCUAGCAUUUCAUCACACAACUCAUUUGCAUAAACUUUCCACAUUAACUCCAUUCAAUGAUUACUAUAAGCUAUUACUCACUACAUACAUACAAAUAUACAUAUAUGUAUAUGUUUCAUUCUCAACCAUAUUACAAGUUUAAUUUUUUUUAAUUUAACCCUAUACAUGCUAUAUAAACCUUAAGAUGCAUAACAAAAUCUACCAGAGUUAUCUGGAUAGUGUGAACCGAUGGUUGAUUCGAUCCUCCGAACUUCUUGAAAAUCUACAAAGAACAUUGAACAACUAAAGUAAGCUUAAUGAAGCUUAUUAAGUUCGUUGGCUUUAAACAUAAAUCUUACCGAACAUACUAAAACAAUUCAUUUAAGUAAAUCAUUCAAUAUACUAUUCCUGCCAAACACAACGUCAAUCGAUGAAUUCAUUUAUUUCAGAUCAAUAUCAAAAUAAUUUUAAGUCUUCAGACAUUAAUUCCAUAAAUCACUUACCAACCUUAUCAAAUUAGAGAACGUCUUACAUAUAUGAGUACAUCAUAUACAGAAGCCUGAAGGCUGCACAUAAGUGCUAAACAAAAACCCGUAAGGGUUGAACAGAAGCUCAUUGAACAGAAACCCAUAAGGGUUAAACUGGAACUCGAAAGAGCUAAACAGAAACCCAAUAAGGUUAAACUGAAACUCAUACGAGUUAACUGAAACUUAUGUGAGCUAAACAGAAAGCAAACACAGAAGUUCGCAACAAGUACUGAACCUCAGUUUACUUGGGUAAUUUGCUGUCAAUUCUUUUCUUACAUUGAAUGAAUGUACUCAAUCCUGCGUUCUGAUCACUUCGUACUUUCACUUUAAUAUACAUAGUUUAGCAAUAAUUUUAUUUUCAACAAUAAACAUAAAUACCGAUCAUCAAUUAAAUAAAUAACAUUAAAAUUUAAGCAUACGAACUUACCUGGACUAGUUUGUAAAAUUUGUUGUAGCUCAGGAAUUUUUCGAAUAAUUUCUCUUUUCCUCGAUUUUCUUUGGACUCUUAAUCUAUAAUAUAAAAUUAUUCAUUCAUUAGCACAUAUAUUUCAGCCUCAUUCCACUUCACAAUUUAUACCAUUCAAUUUCUAAAAUUACACAUUUACCCCAACUUUUAUAGUUUUUAUAAUUUAGUUCCUCAUCAAUUAACCCAUCAAUUGAGUUAAUUUUUCUCAGUUAACAAGUCAUUCCAUCAUUCUAAGAUAUAUUUCAGCCUUUGAUUCAAAAAAAAUUUAAUAACAAACCUUAAUUCUCAACCUUUUUCACAAUUUAGUCCUAAAAUGAUUAUCUAUCAAAAUUACUUAAUAAAAUCAUCAUAUGGCAAAAUUAAAGCUUCAAAUCUAUGUUAAUUCAUCAUAAACAUGCAACACUCAUCAAUGGUAACUUUCAAAAUUACACAUGAAAUAAAAAAACAAAUGAAACAUAUAGUUGAACCUAGUUGUAAAAGUCUCAAAAACAUAAAAAUUUUAAGAAAUAAACAAAAAUUGAACGUACAUGCAGUAAAAUAUGAAAACUAGCUUCUUAAGGUUUCUUCAAUGGUGUUUUUGGCUGAAGAAAAGUGGAGAUAUCUCUAGAAAUUCAAUUUAGUCCUAUUUUAACUAUUUAAUUUUAAUUUAUUUCCAAUUUUGCCCCUUGUUCACACUAAUUCCUUGAUUUUUUCUGCUUGUGCCGUCCAAACCUUUCACUUUAGGCUAAUUUACCCUUUUAAUCCUCCCUUAUUAAACACUUAAACUAUAUAACCACUUUAGCAAAAUUUUCACCUUUUCAAUUUAGUUCUUUUUAAUUAAUUAACCAUCAAAACGUUAAAUUUACUAAUGAAACUUUAAUACUAACUCAAUAGCACUCCAUAAAUAUUUAUAAAAAUAUUUACGACUCUGUUUAUGAAAUCAAUGUCUCGAUACCUCAUUUUCUACCUAAUUUACAAAUUAAUUCUUUUAAAUCACAAAAUUCACUAAUUCAAGCAUACUUCUAAAAUCACACUUAACUAAUAAAUAUUAAUUUAUUAAAAUUUUAAACUCACUCGUCGAAUUUAGUGAUCUCGAAUCACUGUCUCCAACACCACUGAAAAUUAAACUGUUACAACUCUCCCCCCUUUAGGAAAUUUCGUCCUCGAAAUUUGUUACCUGAGAAUAAAUUCGGAUACUGUGAUCUCAUUGAUUCUUCUGUUUUCGAGGUUGCCUCCUCCGAACCAUGACGCUACCACAAUACUUUAACUAACGGUACUCGUUUAUUUUGUAGUUCUUUAACUUCUUGAGCUAAAAUUUUCAUUGGUUCUUCUGAAUAAAUCAUAUCCAGUUGAAGCUCAAUUUCAGUAUGAGGAAUCAUGUGUGAAGGAUCUGAUUUGUAUCGUCUCAACAUGGAUACAUAAAACACAUUAUGAAUCUUUUCAGGUUCUGGAGGCAGAGCUAACCGAUAAGCUACAGGGCCAAUUCUUUCAAUAACCUCAUACGGUCCAAUAAAUUUUGGACUCAAUUUCCCUUUUCUGCCAAACCGUAAUACUUUCUUCUACAGUGAAACUUUUAAGAACAUUCGACCGCCAACCAUAAAUUUUAUAUCUCUUCUUUUCAAAUCUGUAUAUGAUUUCUGACGGUCGGAAGCUGCUUUCAAACUAUCCUGAAUGAUUCAAACUUUUGCUUCAGUUUCUCGGAUCAAAUCGACUCCAACUAACUUGGAUUCACUCAAUUUAGACCAAUACAAUGGAGUUUUACACUUUCUACUAUAAAGAGCUUCAAAUGGUGCCAUUUUAUACUAGAUUGAUAACUAUUAUUGUAAAUAAAUCCAGCCAAAGGUAAAUAACUUUCCCAGCUAUCUCCAAACUCAAGUACACAACAUCUCAACAUGUCUUCUAAAAUUUGAAUCACUCGCUCUGAUCGCCCAUCAGUCUAAGAAUGAAAUGUUGUGCUGAAAUUUAGCUUGGUACCCUGGGCUUCUUGUAGUUUAUUCUAAAACCUUGAUGUAAACCUCGGAUCUCGAUCUGAAAUAAUAGAUGUUGGAACCUUGUGUAAUCUUACAAUCUCAGACAUAUAUAAUUCUGCUAACUUCUCAAGUGAAAAGUCAAUUCUAACCGGGGUAAAAAUGUGCUGCCUUAGUUAAUCUAUCCACAAUAACCCAAAUCAAAUCUUUCUUUCUUGGAGUCAUAGGCAAUCCAGAUACAAAGUCUAUAGUGACAUACUCUCAUUUCCAUUCAGGAAUCAUGACAGGUUACAACAAACCCUUUGGUACCUGAUGUUCUACUUUGACUUGCUGACAAAUAAGACAUUUUGCAACAAUCUCACAGAUUUCUCGUUUCAUACCAGCCUACCAAUACUUCAUUUUCAAAUCACAAUACAUUUUUGUACUACCCGGAUGAAUAGAAUAUAUGCUAUUGUAAGCUUCAGAAAGAAUAUCAUUUUUCAAACCUGAAUUAUUCGGAACACAAAUUUUGUUGCGAUAAGAUAACAUACUACUAUCAUCAAUGGUAUACUCUAAACUCAAAUUGUCUCGAACCAUCUGUCUUUUCAAUACCAAUUUCGGGUCAUCAUCUUGCAAGUCCCAAAUUCGCUGAAAGAACACAGGUUUUGCUUUCAACUCUGCUAAUACAGAACCAUCUUUAUUAAAAGACAAAUGAGUGUUCAUCGCUCGAAGUGCAAAAAAGAUGAUUUUCGACUAAGUGCAUCUGCAACCAUAUUAGCCUUUCCUGGGUGAUAAUCAAUAACCAAAUCAUAAUCUUUCAACAACUCUAACCACCUUUUCUAUCUUAAGUUCAACUUCUUCUGAGUCAUCAAAUAUUUCAGACUUUUAUGAUCUGUGUAUACAUAACAUUUCUCACCAUAUAAAUAAUGUCUCUAAAUUUUCAAAGCAAACACAAUUGCAGCCAACUCAAGAUCAUGUGUAGGAUAAUUCUUCUCAUGCGGUUUUAACUACUGAGAAGCAUAGACCACUACUUUUCCUGACUGCAUCAACACACAACUCAAACCAUUGAGAGACAUGUCACUGUACAUAACAUACGAAACUCCAUAUUCUGGCUGAGUCAAAACUAGAGCAUCCAUCAAUAUCUUCUUCAACUAAUCAAAGCACUGCUGACAUUCAUCAGACCACACAAAUUCAACAUUCUUCUGUAGUAAUCGGGUCAUCGGUGAAGCAAUCAUCAAAAAAUUCUUAACAAAACGGCGGUAGUAUCCUACUAAUCCUAGAAAACUUCGUACUUCUGUUAUAUUCUUUGGAGUUUUCUAAUUCACCACUACUGAUACUUUACACAGAUCCACACGUAUCCCUUCAGCUGAUACAAUAUAACCCAAAAAUCUAACCUCGUGAAGCCAAAAUUCGUAUUUUCUGAACUUUGCAUAUAACUGCUUUUCUCUCAAAUUCUGUAACACAAUUUUCAAAUGUUAUGCAUGUUUAGAUUCUAUUUUGGAAUAGAUUAGUAUAUCGUCAAUGAAUACAACUACAAAUCUAUCUAAAUAUGGUUGGAAAAUCUGAUUCAUUAAAUCCAUGAAAGCAGCAGGUGCAUUAGUCAAGCCGAAUGGCAUUACUAAAAACUCAUAAUGACUAUACCGAGUUCUGAAAGCAGUCUUUGGCAAAUCACACUCUUUAACUUUCAACUGAUAAUACUUGGAUCUGAGGUUUAUCUUUGAAAAUACUGCAGCACCUUUCAACUGAUCAAACAAAUCAUCAAUACAUGGCAAUGGAUAUUUGUUCUUAAUUUUGACUUUGUUCAGCUGUCUGUAAUCAAUGCAUAGUCUUAAAGAUCCAUCUUUCUUUUUCGCAAAUAAAACAGGUGCACCCUAAGGUGACAUACUCGGUCUGAUGAACCCUUUGUCUAAUAACUCUUGUAACUGUGUCUUCAACUCUUUUAACUCAGCCGGUGCCAUUCUGUAUGAUGUUAUGGAUAUCGAAGCUGUAUCUAGAAUCACAUCAAUCACAAACUCAACUUCACGGUCUAAUGGUAAACUCGGCAAUUCCUUAGGUAACAUAUCAAUAAACUCAUUAACUACUGGUAACUGUUCCAGCUUCGAUUCAGAAUCCCGAGUAUCAAGAAUGUAAGCUAAAAAUAACUCAUUACCUUUCCGCAUUAACCUCUAAGCUGAUAAAGUUGAAAUAAUCCUGACCAUUUCUUCCAGAUUCUCAGAUUCAACAGUAAUCAUUUAACCUGUCUGAUAUUUUAGAUCAAUCCGUUUUUCUUUACAAUUCACUAUAGCAUCAUGCUUCGUCAACCAACCCAUUCCCAAAAUGGCAUCAAAUUCUCGAAAGGGUAGCAACAUUAAAUCAGCAGGGAAUUCACAACCUUUUAUUUUCAGUGGACAAUCACGAAAGACUAGAUUAACUACUACACUUUGGCUUAUUGGAUUAGUAACUUAAACAUCAUAAUCAAUAGGUUCAACAGACAAUUUCUUUUCUAAUGCUACUGCAGUACAAACAUAUGAAUGUGUAGACCCAGGGUCAAUCAAUGCAUAUACAAAAUCAUCAAAAAGAUAGAAAGUACCAGCAAUUACAUCUAGAGCUAUUACUUCUUCUCUAGCUCAAAUAGCAUAUGUAUGUACAGGUGCCCGAGCUUCUGAACGAGCAGCUUUAUCUCUCACAUUCGAACGGGUAGCCCCAGUGGCACUGCUUUGGCCUGAGCAUUUACUUCUUUGAGAAGUGGCUAUUUGCUUUUCUUUUUGUUCAUCUUCCUCUUUUUGCAAUUGAAGACAAUCUCUACUGAAAUGAUCAGUGGCUCCACAUUUAAAACAAGCUCCCACUUUGCUUCUGCAUUCACCUGGAUGAUACUUCCCACAAUAUUUUCUUUUAGACCUUGGACCAUUUUGUACACUACCUACACUAGCUGCAGGUUUAAUAGUUACCCCAAAUUCUUGCUGAGUUGUCUUGUUCUUGUUGGAUCGUUCUGGCAUUGAAGUGGGUCAACUAGAAUCAUCUCUAAAUUUCUUAGCCGAAAAUGUUGAAAAUGAUCUGGAGGAGCUUUUCUUGUAGGAAUCUUUAUUUCUUCUUUCCCGUUGCAUUUUUCUAUUGUACACCUCUUCUAUUUUCUAAGCACAAUCAGACAGACCAACAAAUUCCCUUAUCUCUAUGCCCCCAAUCAUCAUUCUGAUCUCAUCAUUUAACCCUUCCUCGAAUCGAAUAAACAUUUCCUCUUCAGUUGGCACAAUAUCUCGAGCAUAUUUGCUGAGGUAUACAAACUCUCUCUCAUAUUCAGCUACUGACCUUGUCGUAAAUCGAGAAUUCCCUUUUGUUUUUAUCUAGAUACCUCUUACUGACAUAUUUUUUUUAAACUCACUCUGGAAAAAUUCCCAUGUGAUUUUCUCUUCCGGUACCACAACCUUUAUAGUCUCCCACCAACUAUAAGCUUCUUCUUUUAAUAAAGAAACAACACAUCUCAAAUAAUCAUCUAGAGAACAUGUCAUUUUUCUAAAAACUCUUGCUAUAUUCUAGAGCCAAUACUCAGCUUUAACGGAGUCAUCAUCUGAUCUACCUUGAAAUUCCUCAGCCCCAAAUUUUAUGAGCUUUUCUAUCGGAGGAUGCUUACUAGAUUCAGUUACCGGAUAAGGAGGAAGAGCAACUGGGGGUGCUACAGAUGGUGCAGUAGGGGGAGGAGGUUGCUGAGCCUAAUUUCUUUCUAGCAUCAUGUCAUUAAGCCAUUUAUUCAUAACUCCAUAGAUCAUGUUUUUAAGUACCUGUUCUUGCAUUAGAGAAAUUGAGACAUUACUACUUGUCCCUUGUUUAGGUGUUUGUACUCUACUAUUCGCUUCAUCUUGUUCAGUACAUUUAGGUCUAUCUGACCUCUUUUCAAUCUAUAAGAAAAAUAAAAAAUUAGAUCGGAUUAUACACACCACACUAUCACAAAUUUAUAUGGCAUGUAUUUCUAAACACUUUACACAUCACAUUUAUUUUGAGAAUUGGCUAAACCAAAGCUCUAAUACUAAUAAAUGUAAUAUCUCUAACUCUUAUCUGUUGCCGGAACAGGGUUACGGAGUAUUAUCAGAGUUUACAGAAUAAUUACAAAAAAAUUCUUGUCAUUUAUUAUUUAUAAUUGAGACUAAUCAUGUUGCCCCUUAAAUGGACCCUCGAGGCCCAAUUUAAGUAUUAUAAGCAAGUUGGGGCUAAAUCGGGAACUCAAAUUUUUUUUUGUAAAAUUUCAAAAUUUUUCUCAAGUACUGGGGUCACACACCCAUGUGGUCAAGGGACACACCCAUGUGGUUCCAUGACAUUCCCGUGCUUCAGGCCAUGUCUUACCCUGUGUAAUCCCCUGACUUGGGUCACACGACCAACCACACGCCCAUGUGCUAGGCCAUGUGGCCAAUUUAUUUUCCUAAAAUUAGGUGCAAUUUUCACACGGCAAAGCCACACACCCGUGUGCUAGGCCGUGUGCUAGGCCGUGUGCUUCACACGGCUAAGACACACACUCAUGUAUCUGACCGUGUGCUCAAUUCUGAGCAUUCUAUUUCUAAACUUUAAGAUGCAGGGGACACACGGCCAAAUUACACGCCCAUGUGCAUGGCCGUGUGUGACACACGGCUGAGACAUAUGCCCUUGUCUCUGCCGUGUAGAUGAAAAUAGACCAUUUAAAGGCCACUUUUCUCACCCUUUUCACAAUCAACCUGCAUACAACACUCUUAUAUACCAAUAAAACCCAAUCAAGUAACCAAUACAAGCCAAAAAUCAAAUUUUAAACCUAGUAUGUCAUCGCACAACUCAUUUGCAUAAACUUUCCACAUUAACUCUAUUCAUUGAUUACUAUAAGCUAUUACUAAGUACAUACAUACAAACAUACAUAUAUGUAUAUGUGUCAUUCUCAACCAUAUUACAAGUUUACUUCUUUUUUUAAAUUUAACCCUAUACAUGCUAUACAAACCUUAUGAUGCAUAACAAAAUCUACCGGAGUUAUCUAGAUAGAGUGAACCGAUGUGUUGAUCCGAUCUUUCGAACUUCUUGAAAAUCUACAAAGAACAUUGAACAACUAAAGUAAGCUUAAUGAAGCUUAGUAAGUUCGUUGGCUUUAAACAUAAAUCUUACCGAACAUACUAAAACAAUUCAUUUAAGUAAAUCAUUCAAUAUACUAUUCCUGCCAAACACAACUUCAAUCGAUGAAUUCAUUUAUUUCAGAUCAGUAUCAAAAUAAUUUUAAGUCUUCAGACAUUAAUUCCAUAUAUCACUUACCAACCUUGUCAAAUUAUCGAAUGUCUUACGUAUAUGAGUACAUCGUAUACAGAAGCCUGAAGGUUGCACAUAAGUGCCAAAAGAAAACUCGUAAGGGUUGAACAGAAGCUUGUAAAAGCUGAACGGAAACCCAUAAGGGUUAAACUGAAACUCGAAAGAGCUAAAUGAAAACCCAAUAGGGUUAAACUGAAACUCAUACGAGUUAACUAAAGCUUAUGUGAGCUAAAUAGAAAGCAAACACAGAAGUUCAUAACAAAUGCUGAACCUUAGUUUACUUGGGUAAUUUGCUAUCAAUUCUUUUCUUACACUGAACGAAUGUACUCAAUCCUGCGUUCUGAUCACUUCGUACUUUCACUUUAAUAUACAUAGUUUAGCAAUAAUUUUAUUUUCAACAAUAAAUAUAAAUAAUGAUCGUCAAUUAAAUUAAUAACAUUAAAAUUUAAGCAUAUGAACUUACCUGGACUAGUUUGUAAAAUUUGUUGUAGCUCAGGAACUAUUCAGAUAAUUUCUCUUUUCCUCGAUUUUCUUUAGACUCUUGAUCUAUAAUAUAAAAUUAUUCAUUCAUUAGCAGACAUAUUUUAGCCUCAUUCCACUUCACAAUUUAUACCAUUCAAUUUUUGAAAUUACACAUUUACCCCAACUUUUAUAGUUUUUAUUGUUUAGUCCAUCAUCAGUUGAGUUAAUUUUUCUCAGUUACAAGUUAUUCCAUCAUUCUAAGCUAUUUUUCAGCCUUUUAUUCAAAAAAAUCAAUAACAAACCCUAAUUCUCAACCUUUUUCACAAUUUAGUCCUAAAAUCAUUAUCUAUCAAAAUUAUUUAAUAAAAUCAUCAUAUGACAAAAUUAAACUUCAAAUAUAUGUUAAUUCAUCAUAAAAAUACAACACUCAUCAAUGGUAACUUUCAAAAUUACCCAUGAAAUCAAAAAUAAAUCAAACAUACAGUUGGACAUAGCUGUAAAAGUCUCAAAAACAUAAAAAUUUCAAGAAAUAAACAAAAAUUGAACUUACAUGUAGUAAAAUAUGAAAACCAGCUUCUUAAGGUUUCUUCAAUGGUGUUUUUGGCUGAAGAAAAGUGAAGAUAUCUCUAGAAAUACAAUUUAGUGCUAUUUUAACUAUUUAAUUUUGAUUUAUUUCCAAUUUUGCCCCUUGUUCACACUAAUUCCUUGAUUUUUUUUAUUUUUUUUGCUUAUGCCGCACAAACCUUUCACUUUAGGCUAACUUUCCCUUUUACUCCUCCCUCAUUAAACACUUAAAACUAUUUAACCACUUUAGCAAAUUUUGCACCUUUUCAAUUUAGUCCUUUUUAAUUAAUUAACCAUCAAAACGUUAAAAUUUUCUAACGAAACUUUAAUACUAACUCAAUAGCACUCCAUAAAUAUUUAUAAAGAUAUUUACGACUCAGUUUAUGAAAUAAAGUUCUCGAUACCUCAUUUUCUACCCAUUUUACCAAAUAAAUUCUUUUAAAUCAUAAAAUUUGUAACAACCCGAUUUAGACCCUAAUCGGAACGGUGGUUUUGGGACCACAAAUCUGAGUCAGAAAAAUAUUUAAAAAUUAUUUCCAUGUUUAUUUUGUGUGAAUUUAUAUCUGUGAAAUUUUCGUGAUUUAAUUUUAUCGUUUGAGUGCCCGAUUAAAUAAAAGAACUGAAUCGCGUAAAAUGAAAACUUGAUAGUUUAAAGCAUAAGUGUCGAAUUGUUAGUGGCUUUCUAAAUUUGAACAUUUAUGUUGUAAAUAACCCAUUGAAACUUAUAAUGGUCGGUUGUGCCCUUGUUAAAUAUAUUUUAGUUAUUAAAUGGUAAAGGUUAAUUAGGUAAAAUAAUAAUAAGUUAAUAUAUAUGAUAAUUAGAAUAAGCUUUCAUUUUAUUUUCUCUUGACCGAAACCAAAAUAAGAAAUAAAAAGAAAAGAAAACCUAGGUUCCACACUUUCAAGCUUGAUUCAAGGUAAGUUCUAGCUCGGUUUUUGAUAAUUUUUACGUUUUUAAGAUCGUUGCUAAGUUAUCUUCAAGACCCAUGCUUGAAUUUUUGAUUUUGAUGAAUAUUUUGAGUUAUGCCAUUGAUGAGAGCUUGUGAUUUUUGUUGUUUGAUGAUGAAAUAUAAAAGAUAUGUUUUAUAUUAACAUGUUUUGUAUUGGAGUUUUUGAUAAAUUUGAGUAAUUAAGACUAAAUUGCAAAAAUAAUAAUUUGAGGGACUAAAAUUUGAAAUAAAUGAAAUAUAUGAACUUUAUGAAUGCUAGGAAUAUUCGGCCUAACAUGGGCAUAUUGAAAUUUUGCAUAUUUUGUGUUUUGUGCAAUAGGGACUAAAAUUGUAAAAAAGUGUAAAUGUCAGGGGUAAAAUGGUAAUUUGACCAUUUAUGUGUUUUUGGACUAAAUUGAAUAAAAAUAUGUUUGAAUGAACUUAAUUUGAAUAUGUUUAGAUCAAGAACCAAAGAAAUCGGAUUUGGAUGGGGGAAAACGAAAGUUAUCGACUAGCUGUCCCGUUCUAUUUUAUAUCAUCUGAGGUAAGUUUAUAAGCAAAUAGACGUACUUAAUUUUAAUUAAAUGCAAAGUAUAUAUGCUGAAGUGAAAUAUAUGAUUUUAUAUAUGCUAUAGCCAAAUGUGAAUAAGCUUGAUUAUUAUGUUUCCGAAUUCGUUUCGACCGAGUUAUGAUGUCUGAAUGCCCCAUAUGAACCUUAGGAAUAGUUAGGAUACGUAUGUCAUGACAUAGGAUUCCGAUAUAUGUGUACGAGUAAGACCAUAGCAUCGAUAUGUGAUUCCGAUAUAUGUGUGCGAGUAAGACCCUGUCUGGGACAGCGGCAUUGAUAUGUGAUUACAUGUAAGACCACGUCUGGGACGUUGGCAUUGUACAAUAUGUGUGAUUAUCCGAGUAUCCUAUCCAAUUUUGAAUGGUUCAUCGGGCAUCAAUAAGUUGUGAUUGGAAGUGUAAAAUGAGUGGAAACGACCAGGUAUGAAAUAGUUGGCUACCUAACUAAAAUAAGGCAAGUAAGUAAUUUGGUUAUUGUUGUAAAUCAUAUGUGAUGCAAAUAAAGGAUUUAUGUGAUCAUGAUAUAUGUGUUUGGUCUUAUGAAUGAAUGAUAUGAAUAUUAUGGAAUUGGUUUUUGAAUAGGCAUAUACCAGACCAUGUAUAUUCGGCCAUAUAGAUAUGUAUAUAUACAUGAUGUUAUAUUAUGAUUUGAGAUCAAGUAUAUAAGUGUAUGUAUAUUCGAUAUAUAUAUAUAUAUGUUGACAUUUUGGCUUGAAGUUUGAAUGAUAAUUAAUUAUUUGGAUUAUAAUAGCAUUCGGCCAAGUUGGCAUUUAUGAAUAAAUAUAUAUAUGUAUAUAUAAUAUGAACUUUAUAUGUUUGGAUCUAAUUGUGUUAUGAUAAUAUAAUUUGGCUUGGUUUAGCUAAGUUGAUAUUAUCAUUGGGUUGUACAUUUGCUUAUGACUUACUAAGCUAUAAAAAGCUUACUUUGUGUUUAUGUGUGUUUUUGUUUUAUAGAUUUUGGAUCAAGUUAUGAGCUCGGGGAUCGUCAGCAAGAUCAUCACACUAUCUACUAUUUUGGCACCUUAUAAGCUAAACUCGAAUUAUGGCAUGUAUAGGCUAUAUUUGGAGUAAGUUAUUUUGGUAAAGGCAUGUAUAAAAGGCCAUACGAAAAUGGCUUAAUUCCCAUGUUUAAAUUCUGUUAUGCUUGGUUGUGGCUUGAAUUUGUUUUAGUAAUAUUGUUAAGUGCUAUGAAUGAAUGAUGUUCAUGAUAGGUAUUUUAUGUUUUAGUAUUGAUUAAUGAUUUUGGUUGAAUAUAUGGUUGAUUCGUCUAAGAUAUACAUAGGGUAAAAUAUAUGUGAUUGCAGUGGGUAUAUGUGGUCAAUGUAAUAUAUGUGAUUCGGCAUCAUAGACUUGGUUAAGACCGAACAUAACUUAAAUUGUUUUAAUAUGAUUAUUACAUGGCAGGUAAGAUUCGUGUUUUGAUUAUAUGCCUAUUUGUAGUCGAAGCUUUAUUCUUGAGAAGUAUAAAUUGUAAUAUGAGUAGGUUUGGAAAUUUUAUGAUAAAGCAUUAUAAAUAUAUAUGCAUAUGAUAAUGCGACUUGAUUUGUUUUGUACAUGAUAUGAAAGAUUUAAGUUUUGAGUAUGAUUAUGUGUGGGUUGUGUUUUUCAAUGAUAGAAACAAUCCCCUUUAGUUGGUAAGUAUUUUCGGUCAAACUUAUUAGAUCAUGGUUGCAUGCUUGAACUUGGUUAUCAGGGAUAUGCUAUUAAAGUUGAGUUUUAGAUGUCAAAUAGUAAACCAAAGCCUAAGUUGACCGAAUGGUAACAGUUAAUUGGUUAUUGAGUAUGUAAUAUUAGACAUAUUGAUUGGCAUAGCUAAUUAGUGUACUUUUGGGUGGUGUGUCUAUUCAUAAAAUAAUUAAAUUUACUAAGGUCAAAUGUGCAUGAUUUAAUGACCUAGAAUAAAUAUGUAUAGUCUUUUAUGAUUAAUAUUGUUUUUUUUAAAGAAGUAUAUGGUAAUAUAUGGUUAGUGCCGUAUGGAUGUUUAAAAUAUAUAUUUAAAUGCAAAGCAUGCAAAUUCAAAAUUUACCUUGACCCUAGUUGCAUAUGUAAGCAAAUUUUUAUAUAUGUGUAUUAUGGUUUAUUAAAUUAUAAGAAUAUACAUGUGAUAUUUGGUGAUUUAUGCAUAAUUUCAUAAGUGAACUAAUAAUAUGUUUAACCAUGUUGUUAAUGAUUAAUGCUAUAUAUAUAUUUGCAUUAUACGCAGUAAGUAUUAAGUUGAAAUUUGAUAUGACCUGUGUUUACAAUGUGCAAAACAGUAUAUGUUCUGAAAUGUAAGUUACCUACAUUUUAUUUAUUAAUGAGUUUGACUUGGGUGAAAAUUUAUUAAUGAUUGGAUUUGUGCUUUUAAUUGGUAAUGCCUCAUAACCCUAGUCCGGCGACGGAUAUGAGUUAGGGGUGUUGCAAAAUUCACUAAUUCAAGCAUACUUCUAAAACCACACUUAAAUAAUAAAUAUUAAUUUAUUAAAUUUUUAAACUCACUCGUCAGAUUUAGUGAUCUCGAAUCACUGUCUCCGACACCACUAAAAAUUAGGCUGUUACAAAACAUGUGUCUUUCAAUAAAACCAACUACACUGUUAACUUUGGGUUAGCUUGUGAACAUCGACUCGACAAAGUUUAGAAAAGAACAACUCCACUAAGACUAUGUGAGAGCCAUGUGGGAGCCUAUAGUAAUUGAUUACUAGUCACCCUAAAACAUCUCAUCCUAGGACGUAGCAUCACUAUCACUGCCAAGGGUAUCAAAUCAAAAUUCCACGUUAAUUAUCUCAUGACACAUAUUCAAGCUUGUUCCCUACUAUAAAAGAGUCAUUGAAACAACUUGUACGAACUCACAUAGACACUCAUCCUUUCUGACCCCCUGACUAUCUCCAAAACUGAAACCAUUCCCUAACCUUCAUAUCAUUUUUCCCUCUUCAAUCAUCAUCUUCUUCCUCUUGUUUACAUUAUUGGUUAACAAUCGGUACAGUGAGCAUGGACAAACAUGUCAAAUACAGCGUCAAUGAUCCUCCUAACACCAAGUUUGAACCCACCUAUGACUAAGUUAUAGACCCCAUUGUUCGUAACAUAGGAACAAAUAAUGACCAAACUAGAACAACUCAAUACCCAAACUCCUUGCAUGGCAACUAAAACAUAAAUCCACAAACUCAAAUCAACCCUUAAAACCAAAAUUAGCGAAAUUCGUACCAAGAAAACUCAUACUAGCAGUUUUUCCAAUACCCCCAUAGUAUUACAAUAACUAGUAUUGCAUCAUGUCGAAGCAUCACCAAUAGACAAAGGAUCUCAACAUCAACAGUCCGAAAAUCAACAAUAUCUAGACAUGCAAGAGAGGAUAAGAGUUAUGGAGGAGCAAAUGUCUUCCCAACAAAAAAGAUACGAAUAAUAAUAGAAGUUUAUCUAGGAGCAAAUGGAUAGAAAAAAUUGAGUAGACAAAAGAAAUGAAAGAAGUGAAAAGCUCAUCGAAGAGCUAAGAGCAGGUUGGAUGAAUCAUGGCCAAAACUCAAUGCGUGGAAAGGAAGAAUAUGUCCAUUCUAAAAGCGAUCGUCAGUAUUUAGGCCGAGGAAACCAAGAUUUAGUAGAUGAUAUUAUUAUGGAUGAUAGUUAUGAUGAAAAUUGUGAUGAUAGUUAUAGCUACUCUAAUAAAAAUACCUUGCAAUAGAAGCUAGAAAAGUUAGAGAAGCAUCUACAGAAUUUUCAGAAAGUUGAAUCCCCAGGGUUAGAAAGUAUAAAAAUGAGACUUUAGUUGAAAAAAUUCUUUGGCAUCAUUUCUCCCUUACUUUUAAGUUCCCUAAGAUGAUGUAUGAUGGUCGAGGGGAUCCUUAAGACCAUUUGGGUCAUUAUGUAAACCAUAUGAAUAUAUUUGGGGCUUCAGAUGAAGUUAAGAACAUGGAAUUUUCAAUUACAUUAAAAGACUCAACUCAAGCAUGGUAUUUGCAACUGCCGCAACAUUCCAUCAUGAACUUCAAACAGUUGGCUGACCUUUUCAUGAGCAGGUUCUUGUAAAAUAAGACAUUGAAUCACUCUCCUACGUAUCUCAUGUAUAUUAAGCAACGUGAGGAUGAGUCUUUGAGAGAUUUUGUCAAAAGGUUCAACACAACAACAAAGGUCACAAAAGAUGUUUCUGAAGAAUUUGUUGUUCAAGUUUCAUGUCUAGAACAAAUCACCAAUUCUUAAAGUACAAUUUGAUCGAUAAGCCUCCAACUAAUUUGUCAGCUUUACAUGAGAAGGCUCUUAUUAAUCGUAUUGUAUCAUCAAACAUAUAUAUGUAUAUGUGUAUUCAUUCAACCAGUUGAUCACAAAUCACUCAAUCAAGUAUAUAAAUAUUUGUCAAAUACAGUCUUAUUAAUAGUUAAUCAUUCUCAAACAUAUAUAUUUAAUUAUUUAAUGAGAUUGAGUUACGAGAGCACAAACCAAAAUAUCUAUUCAUCGACGACUUUGGAUUCAGGAUGGUCCUGCAUUGUCUUUAGCCAUGUAAUUAAUUCUGAAUACGAAAAAUUCAUUAAUCAUACAAUUCAAUACAUUAUACACACGAAUGCAUUUUAUUCGAUUCAGUCCUUGAAUUCCUAAUAUCUAAAACACUCAUUUGAUCGAAUCUAAAUCUAAAUUAAUAAGUAUAGUAUAGGGACCUCUAACUAUCAUUAUUUAUUAUUAAACCUUAUAAUUUUUAUCAUUUACAUUUUUUUUCCAUAAUAGUACAUAAUUUAUCAAAUUGUUUUGACUCAAUCCAAGCCUAAUUCACUAUCAUCACAUUUUUAUCAUAUUCUUGCUUAAGUUAACUAGCUUCACUCAUGUUAAAGCUUAAACAUUUCAAAUUUUAUUUAAGCUUCAACAAUUGAGAACUAAUUUAAAACUCAUUAAAUCUUUAAUACAACACUUGGGCUUUCAUUAUCUCCACCCACUUAACAUAUAUAUAUAACUAAUUGUUUAAUUAGCUUAAUUAAUCACGAAUUUAAUUAUUCAUUAAUCUUUAUAAUGCUUUGCGGUAAGUGAUGAUACAACCAUUAAUAAAGAAUUAUCAUAUCAUUCAAAAUGGUUUAAUUGUUACUAUAACCUUAGUUUAAUUGUCAUUUAAGGGCAUUCCCCAAAUUAAAAAUCAAUUUUCUUUUAGACCUGAUCAUGGGUCGAGCCAUCCAUUUAGGUCUGAAGACUCGUUUAAAAUGUAAGAGAGUUUGAAUAAAAAUAUAAACUCGAAAAAUGGGUUUGGACAAAAAAUAAGGCUCGUUUUCUAAAUGGGCCGAACCUCGUGUAAGAUUUCUUUUUUGCCCAACCCGACCCGAAUUUGCCUAAAUUUUUUUCAUUUUUGUUUACUACUGUUUUGUUGUUUGCUAUUGUUUUGUUAUUGUUUUGCUACCAUUUUGCUAUUAUAUUGCUAUUAUUUUAUUGUUAUUGUUUGGAUAUUGUAUAACUCUUGUUUUAUUAUUAAUUUUGCUACUAUUUUAGAGGCAUUUGCUUGCUAAGUUGCAAUGAUCUUAGUGUUAUUUAAGUAUAAAGACUUCUUUUAAAAUUAUUUUCAAUUUGUUAGGAAACAUUUAUUUUAAUAUUUUUAGUAUAUUUGAUGUAUUAUAUUUUUAAAUUUAUUUUUAUAUAAAAAAUAAAACAAAAUUUUAACACCGACAGGUUGGGCUCAGGUUUAGUAUUUUUAUCUGGAUCGAGCUUGGGGCAAAAUUUUAGGCCCAUUUUUCUGGUCGGGUCAAGCCCAAGCCUAGAAUAUGGAUCUAAAAUUUUGCAUUGGCCCGACGCAACCCAUGAUCAGGUUUAUUUAAAUCACUAAUUAAUUAAGUUCCUAUACUAUUUUUAGUAAUUGUUUUAAUUCAAUCACUCAUUAAUUUGACCUAUACGAACUAUAAUUGACACAUAAUUAUUCUAUUUUAAUUAUUUACCAACUCAACUCGAUUAAUUUGAUUUGAAACUGAAUUUUACGACACCAUUGAAAUCGAAUCGUUACAAAAGUUUUCAUUUUUCCCUUUGUACUUUCUUAUAUAUAUAUAGAUAUAUAUGUGAUAAGGUUAUAUGUCAAAAAAUCCCUUAAGAAAACACAAAAAAAUAAUUAAGCCCAUAUAUUAAAUUCGCACCUAAUUAAGCCCAUAUCGUUAAUUAAAAUAAUCAAUUAACCCCUCUGUUAAUUGUGCCUGUCAUUGGCCACGUUGACUGUUGAAAUAAAUUGAUGGACUAAUCAGAUGGUGACACAUGACAACUUCUGGUUUGAUAUAAUAUUUUUCCCAUAAAAAAUAAUUAAAAAUCAUAAAAAUAUUAAAAUUGAUAUAAACUUAUUAAAAUUAUAAAAAAAACUUAUAAAUAUUAUAAAUUAUAAUAAAUUAUAAAAAAAUAUAAAUUAAUAAAAAUUAUUUAAAAUCUUUAAAAUAAAAUAAAAAACGUAUUAGAAAUCUUGAAAUAUUAUAAAAAAUUAUAAAAAAGAAUUAAAAAUAUUAAAAUUGAUAUAAACUUAUAAAAAUUAUAUAAGAAAUCAUAAAAACUUGAACUGGAACGGUUAGUCAAAAUUGGCAAGGGUACCAGUCUGAGGAAAGUCAUUAUACCAGUUGACCUAAGAUUUGAACAGUUGAACCAAUUUUUUUAUUUUUUAAUAUUUUUAUUAAACGGAAAUCUUAUUAUCCAACUAUUAAUAUAUGUCAAAAUGAAAUAUUCUAACUAAGGAUUUUAGAAUUGGACUAGUGGUCAAAUUGAUUAGAUCACCGGUUUGCUAGUUCAAUUGACCUGUCCAAUUCAAUUCAAUAAAACAGUAAAAAAUUAGUUCAACCAUUCAGUUCCUAGGUCAACUGGUUUAAUGGCUUUCUUCGGACCGGUACCGUUAUCAAUUUUGAUCCAAUCGACUAAUUCGGUCCAGUUGAAGUUUUUAUGAUUUUUUUAUAAAUUUUAUAACUUUAUAUCAAUUUUAAUACUUUUUAUCAUUUUUAACUUUUUCAAAAUAAUUUUUAUGAUUUGUAUGGUUUUUUUAUAGAAUUUUAAUAAGUUUUUAUAAAAUCAUAAUUAUGUUUUAUCAAUUUUAUAAUUUUUGUAAUUUAUUUAUAUAUUUUUAUAAUUUUUAUAAAUUAAUAUCAAUUUUUAUAUUUUUUAAUAUUUAAUAAUUUUUAUAUUUCUAGAUAAAUUUUUUAUAAUUUUAUGAAAAAUAUUAAAUUAAACUAGAAAAUGUCAUGUGUCAUUAUCUAAUUGAUUUGUUAAUUUAUUUUAACAAUUAAUAUGGUAAAUAAUAAAAAUUAUUAAUUUAAUUAAUGAGAAGGAGAUAGAGUGCAAAUUUAAUAAAAGGUUGAAUUGAUUUUUUUAUAUUUUCUUUUUGGUCAUAUAAACACUUGUACGUAACUUAUUUUAUUAUAUAUUGUUUUACUUAUUGGGAUAUUGUGGGGCAUGUUGAAAUCCUUGUCACGUGAGCACGGCCGAUGUGACUUAGCAGCCCAAAUUCGAUGCGAUAAUAUGGUUGGUGGAAGAAAUUAUAGACUUUGUAAUACUUGCAGUGCUAUCUGAGCUUUUCCCAAAUCCAACCACUACACUUGAGUCAUGAUUUAACACCUUUCUGCAUUUUUUUAGGAUAUUUCAUUUUUUUUUCUCUCUUUAGUCUUGAUUUUGUUUUUGUUUUUGAUACUAAUAAUAAAAAAAGAAAACUAGCAUAUGCCAAGAAUAAGAUGAUAGUAACUAAUUCCAACUGAUUAAAUUCUCAUAGUUUACAUUUUUGGAUUAAAAUUUUCAAAUUUUUAUUUUAAUAAUUAAAUUUUAUAUUUAAAAUCUCACACUACUUUCAUUUUCUAUGGAGCAAGGGAAGGUUGACUAAACACAAGUAUGAUUGCCAGCCAGCCGCCGUAACUUUCUCAAUUCUUCGCGCAAACCUUUAUUUUUGUUUUGAGAAUUAAUUUUGUCAUUAAAUUACAAAUAAUAUACAGAAUUUAGAAGUAUUCUUGAGUUUCAGCACAAUCAGUGAGUCACCUUUUUAUCUUUUUCUUUUCACAAACCUCCUCUUUACUUUUAUUUAACUAAUAUUUAUGGUAGUAUUCGAAAUUGAUAAUUUUACAAAAAAAAAACAUUUUUUUAAAACUAUAAAUUUGGGAUUUUUAUUUUUAUUUAACGUCCAUAAUGAAUCUGACUUUUUCUGAUUUUUUAAAUCAUUUUAUAUUUUUAUAAUUUAAAAAAUAAUAAUAUAAGAAUUGUUUUUGAAAAUAAAUUCUUGUAUUGUAUAAAGUUUUCAAUUUUUAAUUUUUUGAAAUUUUCUUGCUUUUUAUUUUUUAUUUAAUAUGCAUAAUAAAUUUUUACAAAUAAUUAUCCAAAUUCAUUUAGAUUUGAACAACUAUUGAUCUAGAUUUAUUCUGAAUAUAUACUUUUCGAGUCAUUUUAUUUUUUUAUAAUUUCAAAAAAUAAUGAUAUAAAAAUAAUUUCCAAUUUUUUAUAAUCUAACUUUUAAUUCUUACAACAAACUUAAGGUUUUUUUUUUAUAGGUUUAUAAAAAUUCCUCUAAAAAAAUCAAUAAUUAAUUCAACCAUCAAUAAAAAACAACACUUAAUUAAGCCCUCAAUCAAAUUUAAGAUAUCAUUUAAACCUUCGAACCUCAACUUUCUAUGGAAGUCCUUUAUGGUUGUUAACAUCGCCACAUGACACAUUAAGAUUGUGUCACAUGACAAAAUUUGGUAAUUUUUAUUAUAAUUUUUUUUAAAAAAAUAUCACUAGAAAUAUAAAAAAAUUAGAAAUUUUAAUUUUUUAAAAUGUAAAAUUUUUAAAAAUUAUAAAAAUGAAAAAUAUUAAAAUGUUAUAAUUUAUUAAAAAUAAUAUAAAAUUAUAAAAUCAAUUACCAUGCAUUUCAAUUUCGGGUAGACGAAGAUGACUUGAUAGUACAUUUGGUAAAUUGGUAAUUGAAUAAUCAAGCAUCUCUUUCAACAUUAACAAACUUGAGUUUAAUUAAAAGAUACAAUAAACAUAAAAAGGCAGCAACCAGCAAUAGAAGGAAACACGGCACGAUAAUCUCAAACAACACGAAGAUGAGACCUAAGAUGGAUUAAUGUUAUGCUUCUAUGGAGUCUUAUGGAGACCAUCUCCAAACUAACUCUGAAGAUGGAAUUUAACAAUGUCGAAAAGAUCAUCAUCUUUCUCAUUACUAUUUAUGGAACCAAACACCAGAGUAGGAUUUGCCCCCGACAAGGAGCCAGUAAUAGUCGAAACUCCUAAAUAUUAAUAAAAAUAAAAUAAAAUAAAGCAGAGUAAGUAAAUUUAGGAGUAAAAUUAACUAACAAAGAAGCAAUACUAUUUUUUUUUAUUGUACCAUGAUAAAAACAUGAAAUUUUGUUACCAAUUGCAAUAAACAAGAUGAACCAACAUGAUGUAUGCAAACAAGAACCAAUAUGAUGAUUACCUUGUCAUGUAAUCAAUACUGAAAUUAACCAACAUAAAAGACCCCCCAAAAUAGAAAAACAUGUAAUUUCUUUGCCCAGUGGAGGGGGUAAUUAAAGAAAAUACAAUAAUCAAGAUAAACCAAAGCAAUAAAUGCAAAAUGCUCAAUUUAUUACCCGCAGCAAGGUCUCUGUUGCAAAGGUUAUUGUGAUUGUUCAUGGCACCAUACUCAGGCAAGUUAUGAUUUGCACCCAAGGAAGAGCCAGCAGCAGAACUAAUCCAAACUACAAUGCCAGUUACAGGUUGUUAAUAGUAGUCAGUUUAGUAAGUUAGCCUAGUUUUCAGUUACAAUCUUUGUAAACCUGAGGUAUUACAAGCUAAGUUAAUGAAUUACGUGAAGAACUCGCUCAGUUCUUCACAAACUCCUAAAUUAACAAGUAAAUUAGAAAGGCUUGAGAAGACCUUGUAAUCAAGAGUAAAAUUCACCAACACAAAACCAAAAAAAAAAAAAACUUUAAUACCAUAAAAAACAUGUAAAUCCUAUGCCAGUUGUUGGAGGAAAAGAGUGAGAAGUAAAUGAGAUGAACCAAAAUUUAUGCUGAUGAAUGCAAACCUGCAGCAGAGGAGACAGCAUGAUUUGCAGUAUAUGCGGGACCAGCAGCAGUAGAGGCAGCAACGUUGGUAUAGUCCUGGCCUGGGAACAUGUUACAAGUCUAUUAAUACAAAAUACCAAGCAAUGUAAUCAAGGCGUGGCUCAAGGGUUAUAUAAUUACCAAAACACAUUUGCUGAUCACAAUCAACCAUCGAAGCUUGAAAGUCGAUUGUUGGAACCGGUACUGAUCCCACCAAUCUAUUAACAUUCUGUAAACCAGUUCCAGAGGCUCUUGAAACUUGACCACCUCCCGCAUAAUUCUGCGAUGCAAACCAUUUUACUGCCUGCAACAAAGAAUUGAGUUCAGCACUCAAUUGAUGAAGAUGGGAUAAUCGGAAAUUAUCAUAUACAACGUAAUUAGAGAAUACCUGGUCAAAAGAACCAAAGUUAUGCCCCUGCAAUCGAAGAGAAAUACAUUAUUCAUCUUCAUCUCUUUGAAUAAAAUAUAACAUGGAUUUGACCAAAUGUUGGGUAUAAGCAGCAGAUCUUUUGUAAGAAAAAGAGAGAAACGGUUAAUACUAUACAAAUUUCCGUACAUGGUAUGCCAUCAAAUGAAUGAAGAGUUGCUUCAUCAAUUCCUCGCUUGCUUUCUGAAAAACACAAUUAUCAUAUAAACAAAAAUGCUUAUGCUUGCGAAAAAAAAAGCAUAAAUCAUUAUUCUUCCUAGUAAUUUAGGAAGUUUUAGGAGAGCUAAAGGUUUCCAUGAUCCAAAAUAAUCCUCAUAUAUAGUAUAUCCAAGAUCGUGAUAAAUAAAUUUUAUGAAAUUUAUGUAUAGUUCCACUGUUAAUUGUUUGCUAAUUUCAGUAUUCCAUUGUUGUGUUGGAACAGAGAUGAUGUUUUUCAACUUUUCAAAAGAGCACAAUGUUGUCGUUUAACCUUCGCAAAAACCAUAUUAGGUUUAAAGGAGAGAGAAAUAGGGAGUGCAAAACCUGUUCCACAAUAGUUCUCCUAAGUUGUUGGAGCUCAAGCUCUGUGUUAGAUUUGUAAUUCUCAAACUCCAUUUUCAUAUUCCGGGAUUCAGUCUUCAACAUUGGGAUCUCUCGUUCAAGUUGCUCACGCUUCGUCUUAGUUAUAAAAACACCAAGCAAACAUUAAUUAAAGACUUCAAAAAAAUAAACAAAGUAAUUGAUGAUGGCUUAAUAUCAAUGUACUUUGAUUCUCUGUCGAGACUCUCUACAGAUUGCAGCAUGUCUAGCCCUUCUCUCCUUCUCAGAUUUGGUACCUCUUUGUUUGGCCUCUGUAUUCAUUGGAAAAGCGCACAGUUUUCUUCAAAUCAACUCCUCUGGAAAACGAAUGGUAAAAUGUGGCCUCAUGUGCUUCACCUUAUAGACAGCUGAAGGUUCCAUUCUAACAUUGGCGGCCAUCUUGAUUCUACCUUUUCCCGCGCGCGACUACUUCAGAUAAGACUAUGGAAUCUUAGAGUGGGAAAAAUAAGUCAAGUGUGAGGUUGAAGGCGAUAGGUUAUCCGGCCAAAUUUUAAUUUAAUUAAUGUUUGCUUGGUGUUUUCUUAACCGACGUCCAUAAUUGGGAAAAGAAUUGUAGGAAAAAGUGAAUUUAUGAUAUCUGUAUUCUUUUUUAAUAGUUUUAUGUCAUAUUAAUAUUUUUAUAUUAAAUUUUAGCAUUUUUAUUUUGAAUAAAAUCAAAUCUAAAUUAAAAUUUUGAUAUUCAAGAUAAAAUUACUGAUGUAACAUAAAAUUAUUAAAAGAAAAUAAUAUCCAUAUUCCAUAUAAUACUUUCUCCUAAAACGGAGUUUGACCUCGUAUAACUUAAGAGAAUAUGAUAUCUGGCACAAAUUUUGCACUCCCAAUUUCUCUGUCCUUUAAAGCUAAUAUGGUUUCAUUUGUCUUUAGUACAAAGACUAAUAUGGUUUCAUAAUAAUGAAGAUGAUGUUAAAAUAUGCCUCUAUUCUUAGUAAAUUUAAAUUUAAGUCUUUAUGCUUUUAUUUUUAAGAAAUUAAUCUCAUUGUUUUUUAGAUUUUAAAAUUUAAAUUUAAUUAUUAAAAUAUUAUUUUUUAUUAAAUUUAUUAAUAUGGUAUUUUGAAAUAAAAAAACUCAUUUGAUAACUAAAAAAAUGAUGUUGCAAUGAAUUUAAAUUUAACAAAUUAAUUUUAAUAGUACUAACAAUUGAAUUUGAAUUUAAAAAUAUAAAAUGUAAAAUAACUAAAUUAUUAAAAAUAAAAAUACAACAAUUAAAUUUUAAAUUUGUGAAAAGUAAUAAAAUUUAGUGGAUGUUUUAACUUUUUUAAAAAAUAAGCUUAAACCAUCAUAAACUAAUUUUUUUUGCCCGUUGGAUACACGAGUUAAUUAUAUAAAUUAAAACAUUUUAUAAGAUGACAAAAAAACAUUUAAAUAUGGUAAUUUAAAAGUGUUAAGAAAUCAUAAAUAUAAUGAUUGAUGUAUAACUUUAAUUUCUACUAAUGUGUUCACACUAUUUAAAGGCAUGUUUAAGUAGCCUAUCAACAUCAACACUGUGAGAGUUAAAAAGUGUUUUUUUUUUCGCGAAAGAUAAAAACACUUUUAUAUAAUUUUUGUCUUUUUUUUUGAAAAGUUAACACUGAAAUUGGUAACCAAUUAACACUGGAAUUGUACAUAAAUUUUAUAAAAUCUUGUCUUAUUUUAAGAAGAAAAAGUAGCCAUCAUCAAUUUCUUUGUUUAUUUUUUUAAUAUCUUUAAUGAAUGUUUGCUUUGUGUUUUUAAUAUUUUACCAUUUAAUUGAUCCCGUGUUGGUUUAAUAGUCAGUAUUUUUAUCAUUUUAAGUAUGAUUUGGGAUCGAGUUGCACUAAUUGUAUUACUGUUGGGGCUUUGUCAUCCUCUUAUAAUUAAUAAUUUUUGUAUGUUAGAAUAUGUUGAAAGAGAUGUUUGAUUAUUUAAUUAGAAAUUUUUGUAUUGUUAUUAUCAACCUAAAUUUGAUUCAGAACUAUUACUUUUUAAUUUCAAAAUUCUUGGGACUUUGAUUUUGUUUUAAUUGAUUUUAAUUAGCUUUGAGCUUUUAACAUUGGGCUUUUGGUUGGUAGUCAAAAAAAUAAAUAAAUAUCGGCAUGUUUAGCCCUGUCAGCUUGACUUUGCUGUUUCCCUGAUUUGGUACCUCUUUGUUUGGCCUCUGUGUUCAUUGUAAAGCGCCCAUGUUUCUUCUGGAAAAUGAAUGGUAAAAUGUGACCCCAUGUGUUUCACCUUAUAGACAGCUGAAGGUUUCAUUUUAACGUUGGUAGCCAUCUCCAUCUAUUUUCUCCACAACAUUGGCCACUUUUCCAGCGCGCGACUACUUCUGAUAACACUGCCAUAUUGUGAGUGUUGCAUCAAAUAUUUUUUACAUCCAUUUGACAAAAUUAAGGGACCCUAUUUUAAUUAACUUUUAUAUUAACCUCGUAAAGAUUAUUAGGGUUUCAAAAUCAUCAUUUCUACACUAUUGAGAAAAAGUAUUAUUAUAAAAACAAUAAAUAUUAUUUAAUUUUUUAAAAAUUAUUAAAAACUAUAAAAAAUUAUUAAAAAUUUGUAAAUAAUUAACAAAAUAAGUUUUUCUUCUUCAAUUUUCUCUACAAAUUCCAAAAGAAUACAAGGCGAUUUCUAUGUUGUCAUCUACUUUUUUGUCUUGAUUUAUUUGGGCAUUACUGUUUUCAAAUUUGCAAUCUCGAAAUAGUAUCAACAUAUGAUUCGAUUAAAAAAAUUGUAAAAAUUAUUCAAAAAUUGUGAAUUUUUGAUUAAAUGCCACUAAAUUCACAAUUUUUAAAUAAUUUUUAUAAUUUUUAAUAAUUUUUUGAAAUUUUUAAAUAAUGGUUUAUAAUUUUUAAUAAAUUUUUAUAAUUUUAAAAUAUUUUAAACUAUAUUUAAUAAUUAUUUACUAUAUUUAAUAUUUUUAAAAAAAUUUAAUAUUUUAAUAAUUUGCAAUUUUUCUAUAAUUUUUAAAUAUAUUUUUUAUGAUUUUUAAUAAUUUUUUUUAUAAUUUUUUUUGGUCUGGUCAAUGUAAUCAACGCAUGGUCAAUGCGGUCAAUGGCCAUGGUAUCGUUCACGUUAGCAGUAAACAAGGACAUGUGGUGUGUUUUGAUUGAUUGUUUUUUUAACACUGUUAACAAUAGGGGCCAAAAAGUGUAACAAAAUUAUAAUUUAGGUACUGAUUUGGGAAAAUGAGUAUAGUUCAGGGACCAAAGAGUGAACAAAGCGUAAAUAAUUUUUAAAAUAUUGAUAAACUUGAAACAAAAUACUGAAACAGACUAAUAUCGAUGCGUGCCAAUUCCAAUAAAAAAGCAAUGUAUCUACCAAUAUGAUAUUAACUACCUUUAUUAAAAAUAGUAAUCAUGAAAAUAAACCCAAUUCACCAAAUAUAACAAAAUAACUAGACAUCAAGGUUUAGGAUUUAUACUAACAACUUAACUAAAUGAAAUAAAGGGUCCAGAGGUCUAAGAAGAAUGGGAUUGGGUCACAUUUUUCGAUUUUCUCUUCCUUUUUAACCCCUAUGGCAUGCAAAUUUAAAUCGAGUUUGACUUGAACCAAAUAUGAAUGAAAAUUGAUAAUUAACCAUACAAUUCAUUGUCGACUUAAUCAUCAAGACGAAGAUGACUUGAUAGUACAUCUGGUAAAUUGGAAUUGAAUAAUCAAGCAUCUCUUACAACAUAAACAAACUCACCAUCAACAUAAAAAGGCAGCAACCAGCAAUAGAAGGAAACACGGCAUCAUCUCCAAACUAACUCUGAAGAUGGAAUUUAACAAAGCUGAAAAGAUCAUCAUCUUUCUCAUUAUUAUUUGUGGAACCAAACACCAGAGUAGGAUUUGCACCUGACGAGGAGCCAGUAAUAGUCGAAACUCGUAAAUUAUUAACCAAAAAAUAAAGAGGGUAAGUAGAUUUAAGGGUAAAAUUAACUAACAAAGAAGCAAUAAACAAGAUGAACCAAUAUGAUGUAACAAUAACCAAUAUGAUGAUUACCUUGAUUAGUGAAAUUAACCAACAUAAAAGACCAAAAAAAAAAAAAACAAAAAAAAAAGAUGUAAUUUAUUUGCCCAAUGGAGGGGGAAUUAAAGAAAAUACAAUGAACAAGAUAAAUCAAAGUGACAACUACAAAACACAAUAUAAACACGUAAACCUGAUGUAUUACAAGCUAAGUUAAUGAAACUACUUGAAGAAUUCUCUCAGUUCUUCACAAACUCCUAAAUUAACAAGUAAAUUUAGAAAGACUUGAGAAGACCUUUAAUCGAGAGUAAAAUUCACCAACACAAAAAAAAAAAAAAAACUUUAAUAUGUCAAUUGUUGGGGAACAAGAGUGAGAAGUGAAUGAGCUGAACCAAAUAUAUGCUGAUGAAUGCAAACCUGCAGCAGAGGAGGCAGCAUGAUCAGCAGUAUAUGCGGGAGCAGCAGCAAUAAAGGCAGCAAUGUUGGCGUUGUCCUGGCCUGCGAACAUGUUACAAGUCUAUUAAUACAAACACCGAGCGAUGUAAUCAAGGCGUGGCUCAUGGAUUAUAUAAUUACCAAAAUACAUUUGCUGAUCAAAGUUAACCAUGGAAGGUUGAAAGUUGAUCGUCGGAACCGGUAUUGAUCCCACCAACCCGUUAACAUUCUGUAAACCAGUUCCAGAAGCUCUUGAAACUUGACCAUCUCCCGCAUAAUUCUGCGACGCAAACCAUUCUACGGCCUGCAACAAAGAAUUGAGUUCAGCACUCAAUAGAAGAAGAUGGGAUAAUCGGAAAUUAUUCUAUACAACGUAGUUAGAAUACCUGGUCAAAAGAAGUAAAGUUAUGCCCCUGCAAUUGAAGAGAAAUGUAUUAUUCAUCUGAAUAAAAAAAUACCAUGGAUUUAUCAAAAAUAGAUUUUUAACAAAAUUUAUAAGCGACAGAGAAAAGGUUAAUACUAAACAAAUUUCCGUACAUGGAAGGCCAUCAAUGCAACGGCGAUUUGCCUCGUCCAUUCCAACUCUUCUUUCUGAAAAACACAAUUAUCAUAACAACAAAAAGGGUUUUAUUAUGCUUAUGGGAAAAGCACAAAUCAUUAUUCUUCCUAGUAAUUUAGGAAGUUUUAGGAGACUUGAAGGUUUCCAUGAUCCAAAAUAAUCCUCAUAUAUGGUAUAUCCUAGACCAACUAUAUGAUUCAAACUAAUUUAUGAUUGUUUAAGCUAAGUUUUAUUACUGUAAUGAAACCAUAUUAGUGUAAAAAGAGAGAAGAAUGGGCAGUGGUGAACCAUAGUGUGAAGGUCUAUACUGAGUAUUUGGUUAUCCUCUUCCAAAGAUUGGAGCUUUUCAUUGCACUCGAUCCCCUUUUUAGCUUGGUACUGCAGCUCAGUUUUGAUCGUCUUGUGAUCAGCUUGCAACUUUAAGAACUCUUGAUCUCGGUCCUUAUGCAUCGUCUUUAGUUAUAAAAGACACGAAACAAGGAUUAAUUAUUUAACUGAUUAAAGAGAUAAAUGAAGGGAAAAAAAGAAAUUGAUGAUAGGUUAAUUAAUUACUGUACUUUCAUUUUCAGUCGAGACCGUAUACAGCUCUCAUUAUGGCUUUCCUUCUCAGCUUGAGUUUUCUGUUUCCCAGAUUUGGUACCGCGUCGUUUGGGUAGGGUUUUGGCCUUAGUCUCCAUUGUACCCUCCAUUUCUGCCGGAUCAAGGCCUCUAGAUAAGAACAAAAUGAAGAAAAAAAGAAAUUGAUGAUAUGAAUUUUAGAAGAUGAAAAAAAAAAAAGUGCAUAUUCCCCGGCUUCACUUUAUACACUACCAUUGCCUCUCAAUGUUAGCAUUGCUGGCAUCAGUUCACUGUAGAUUUAGUCGGCGGGUUCGCGCGACUUCGGCUAUUUUCCCUGCAUAAUCGCACGACCUCGACUGGAUAUCCAUCUCCACCACUCAUUUGAGAGUUUCCAUGGGACAUUUUUUGUCUUUGAAAGGCAAACUAACUGGGAUAACCCACAACUUGUGUGUAAUAUGAGACUCGAAUUUAGUAUCUCAACGAUCCCAGAGGUGAACCCAGAACUCCACCGUUACUACUGCCAUUGACUGUAUUUUAUAUGAAUUGAAUAAGAUACCAUCACCUUCGAAGCUUCAAUUUUAUAUUUCUUUAUAAAUAUAAUUUUAUUCAUACAAGUUAGAAAAAGAUAUUAAGUCUUUCCUCAUUCAACAAAUGUAUAAGAAGUUAUUUUUGUAGCAGCAACUUUAAAAUGAGAAUCAAAGAGAAUUAAAAUGAAUAAUCUAAACCUUCCAUUUAGAAUUUAAUCUAAUUUAUUAAAAUAAAAAAACCACAACACCUAAUCUUUCCUUUUUUUACUUUUCACCAUGAUUUUAGGUUCAAAAAUUUUCAAUUUUCUCUUUCAUUCAUAUUUAGCUUCUUUUUGAAGAAAAAGAAAUUUAUAAUAGAAAUGAAAAACAAGAGAUUAAAGUUAUUAACAUUAAAUAAUUUGAUUAUUUCAUAUUUGUCUUCUCUAAAAAAAUUACAGAGCAUUUCACUCUUAAAAUUUUGAUUUUUUUUUCUUAAUUGAUAACAAAAGCUCAAGCAUAUCAAAUGAAAAGUGAGGUAAAUUUCAAGUAUAUCAUAGGACUAAGCAUUUCAUUUUAAAAGUUUUGAAUCUUUUUUCACUCUAAAACUUGUAUUGUGCUCUUUAUUAAGAAAAAAAAAGUAUUGUGCUCUUUAUUUUAAUGAAAUAAAUUAAAUUGGUUUAAAUUUAAUUUUUUUUAUCUAAGGGUUAAAAACAUAGUUAUCGUUAUUUUUAUUUUAAAUUUUUUUUAUCAUAGUUGUCAACUCUUUUUUCUCUUCAUAAUUUUCUUUCCAUGGAAAAGUGCUUGAGUGAAUUUUAUGGUUUUUUAAUUUUUUAAGUUUUAAAAUUUACAUAUUUAAAUAAAAAUUAAAGUUGGAUUAAAUUUUUUAUGUUUUGUAAUUUAAUUUAAAAUUUCGCAAACCAAAUCCUUUACGUCUUUUUAGGUAAUUUUUUUAAAAAUAGAAUUAGCAUUUGUGGACAUUUCGUUUAUUAUUGUAAUUUUUUUUUAAUAUUCAAUUCUUGUUCUCUCUUGGGUCUUGACUAGACCUAUUCAUGAGUCAAGCCAUCCAACUUGGCUCGAAGGUCCGUCUGAAAAGUGGGAGGUUUAAGUAAAAUUAUAGGUCCAAAAAUGAGUUUGGACAAAAAAAUAAGACCCGUUUAAAAAAUGAGUCAAGCCUUAGGUAAGGAUUUUUUGCUUGGGCCCGGCCCAAAUUCACAAAAUGACAAAAAAAAACUCUUAUUUUUUUGUUGUUUUAAUAUUAUUUUCUUGUUAUUUUUCCCUAUUUUGUUACUAUUUCACUAUUAUGUUAUUAAUUAUUUGUUGUUAUUAUUUAAAUAUUGUAUAACACUUGUUUUAUUGUUAAUUUUAUUAUUAUUUUAGAGGCAUUUACUUGUUAAGUUGCAUUUAUCUUAGUGUUAUUUAAGUAUACAUAUUUUUUUAAAUUUUAUUCUCAAUUUGUUAGGAAAUAUUUAUUUCAAUGUUUUUAGUAUUUUUAUCUCUUAUAUAUAUAUUUAAAAAUUAUAUAAAAAUAAUAUAAUCAAAAUUAAUACAAGUGGGCCGGGCAAAACCCGGGUUUUAGCAUUUUUAUCCUGGUCGGGAUUGGGCAAAAUUUUAGGUCUAUUUUUUCGGGUUGAUUCAGGCUCGGUCCUAGCAAACAGGCCUAAAUUUUUUGUUGGACCUGGCCCAUGAGCACCUCUAGUCUUGAUGUAACAGCCCAAUUUUGGGUCAAGUCGGAACAGUGGUUUCGGGGCUACAAAUUCGACGUAAGGAAAUUUAUUUUUAUUAUAUUUUUUGGUCUACAAUUUCACGAAAUGAUUUCAUGCAAAUCUCGCUUGAAAAUUUCGACGUUUGGGCACUCAAUUUAGUCAAAAGGACUAAAUUAUAAAAAGUGAAAAACUUGAGUUCUAGAAGCUAGACGUAUCAAAUUGCUAUGAAAUUUUAAAUUGGAGCUCCUUAAAUGGUAAUUAGACCAUUGGUUAAUUUUUUGGACAAAAAAGGACACGAAAUGGGUGAAAUAGAAUAUUUUUAAGUUAGGGGCAUUUUGGUUAUUUAGUAAUCAAAACAAUAAAAAGGGAAAACAAACUAAAAAAUUUGUCCAUCUUCUACCUCCCUUGGUCGAAUAUGCCAUAGACACCAUGGCUAGGGUUUUAUUCAAGCUUCCAAGCUCCAUAGUGAGUGCAUCCUAGCCCCGUUUUUAAUGCUCUUUACGUUUUUUAAACCCUCAUAACCCGAUUUGCCUAUUUCUAGCCAUAUUUUGAAGUAGGGUUCAUAUUUAAAAUUUGACCCAUGUAUGACAUGCAUGUGUUUUGAUGUUUAAUGGAAGAAUAUGAAUGUUUGAGGUGUGAUAAACAUCUUUUACUAAGUGUUUUAUAGUGAAAAUGACUAAAAAGAACUUAUUUGCAAAGUUUUUAAAAUGAGUACUAAGAUGUAUGAUUUGAUGAGAAAUGUGUAACACCCCUUACCUGUGUCUAACGCCAGGAUGGAUACAGGGCAUUAUCGAACUAAAACAUAAACAUACACAUAGAACCGAGCCAUAAAAUUUCUUUGCAAUACAAACUGUACAUACACAUGCAACUCGUCCCUAUUACGGGCCUACAAGGCCCAAAUCAUAUAUCGGGGGGUGGUUCGGGACCAUAUCGUGAACUUUAGAAAUUUUUUCAUAAAACAGAGUCACACGCUCGUGUGGGCACAGGGACACGCCCGUGUGUCCCAAACACGCCCGUGUCUCCAGGCUGUGUAACUCUCUGUUUAUGACGUCAGCAUCAAUUAAGGAUCACACGGCCAAGUCACACGCUUGUGUGUCAGGCUGUGUAGUGAAUUUAAUUUUCUCAUUUAAGGUGUAGACUUCACACGGCCUGGGCACACGCCCAUGUCCUGGGGUUGUGUCCUCUACACGGCUGAGACACAAGGUCGUGUCUCUGCCCGUGUGUUUACUACCAUGCACACUAACUUGUAAAACUAGGGUGCAAGGGACACAUGGCUAGACGACACGCCAAUGGGCCAACCGUGUGUCACACAUGGCCUAGACACAUGCCAGUGUGUCUACCCGUGUGGACAACUUUGAGGCUAUUUUCAAAGCCCUCUUGUCACCCUUAACAACACUUACUCACACUUAUAUGUCAAUGGUGAUUAUUAUGGCAUAACGGGGUUACUUAGAAAUCCAUAGCUUAAACUCGUGGAUGAUAAAUUCAUAUCACGUAUACCUAAUUGGGACUCCAUGACUUGUUAAGUUCAUUCAAUCCAUUUCUUUACCUUUAUAACUAUAGUGACCAUGCCAAUUGACAUCAUUUAUCCAUCAAGCAUAAAUUCCACAUUUUGUUAAUCAUUAUUUACAACUAAUUUGGCACACACCACAAGGGUAAUAACACAUCUCAUGCAUGUAUCAAUAUUUAGGGAUUUCAACCCAAUAAUCAAUAUGAGUCAUAUUUCAUGGCCAUAUACAAAAUGGAAUAAUAUACCAAAACGAGCCAUUACUUUGGCUAACAAAUAUGACACAUAUAACAAAAUAAUAAGUCCCCUAUACAUGUCAUACUUAAAUGUAAUAAACCUAUUAUACCCCAAAAGAUUUGUUGAUAGUGUGACUCGAGCUCUGAUGUUCACGAUCCCCGAGCUAGCUUGACAAUGCUAAAAGAAAAAAAGGGAAAAAGAGAGAGGUAAGCAUAUAGCUUAGUAAGUCGUGUCCAAAUAAUAAACAACAUAGAUCAUGAAACUUACGGAAUAAACAUGCUAUCAAUUACCACUACAUUAUCAUAUUACACUUAAUGAACAUAUUGAUAAUUAAUAAUAAAUGUCUUUGAACUUCAUGCUUAUCUUACUCUUUCAUACCCUCAUGAAAUUUCCAAACAUGAAUCAAGCCCAAUACUCAUGAGGUUUACGUACAUACCUAUACCAUACAUUCUUACUCAUUCUACCCCACUUCUUAAUCAUAAUCUUGAAUGGCCUGUUAAAUUACCUGGAAUACUAAAGAAUGUUCGGAAUCAUCAUACACCAAAUAGAAUGCCAAAGCCAUGUCCCCGACAUGGUCUUACAUGGGUUUACAUAUCGAUGUCAUUUCCCAGAUAUGGUCUUAUAUGAAGUCUCAUGUUGGUGUCGAUGCCAUGUCCCAAACAUGGUCUUACACGAGACCUCACACCGAUGCCAUGUCCCAGACAUAGUCUUACACGAAAUCUCAUAUCAACGCCAUAUCCCAAAUAUGGUCUUACUUGAAAUCACAUACCGAUGCUGAUGCCAUAUCCCAGAUAUGGUCUUACACUGGCACACAUAUCAACGCCGAUGCCAUGUCCUAGACAGGGUCUUACACUGGCUCUCAUGUCAAAGCCGAUGCCAUGUAUUAGACAUAGUCUUACACUGGCUUUCAUAUCGGAUGCCGAUGCCAUGUCCCAGGCAUGGUCUUACCCAGGAUCUCAUUAAUCGUGGUGUCCUGAUAUCCGAAUCUUAAGCAUUCCUCAGGGUCACCCGAGACUUCCGAGAUAUAAAGCUAUCACCAAACUUUCAUUAAAUUGUCAGAAGACAAUUUCAUUAGGGCAUUCAUACAUAUAUCAUAGAACAUCAAUUAUUAAGCGCAUGAUAAUAAAAUUGUUAAAUUACUUACACACAACUUACCUCGGUGCAAAAUGUGACAAUUUGCGAUUUAAUCCACAACCUUGCCUUUUCCUCGAUCAAGGUCUAUUCCUCGUCCCUCUUGAUCUAGAAUAAAACAUUUAACUCAUUUAAUACAUGUAUUAUUCAAUUCUGUCCAAACAUCACAUUAUGGAAAAAUUAAAAAUUUACCCUUAAAGUUUCACAAAAUUACGAAAUUGCCCCUAGAAUUUUAUCCUUAAAGUUUCACAAAAUUACGAAAUUGCCUCUAGGCUCGUAAAAUGAAAAGUAUCCCAUUUUUCUCAUUAUUCAAGCCUAGCCGAACCAUUUUCUCUCUUAGAAGAACCCACAUUUUUUAUUUAUUCACACAUUUACACAUAAUUUUUACAGCUUUUACAAUUUGGUCUUUUUUAUUAAUUCCACCAAAAACCACCUAGCAAAGUUUGUUUAUCACACCUCAAACCUCCAUAUUCUUCCAUUAGACAUCAAAGCACAAGCAUGUCAUUCAUGGGUAUAUUUUUGAACAUGAACCCUAGCUCAAAUUAAGGGUAGAAAUAGCUAAAUCGAGCUACGAGGAUUUCAAAAAUAUAAAGAACAUUAAAAACGGGGCUAGAAUGCAUUUACUUUUGAGCUUGAAAGAUGAAAGAAACCCUAGCUAUGGCUUCUUAAAAAUUUUGGCCAAGGAGGAUGAAGAUGGACAUAAUUUUUUACUAUUUUUACCUUUUAAUUCUUUUAAUAACUAAUGGACCAAAAUGCCCGUCUAUUGAAACUUUGAGAUUUUAUCCCUCCUAUGUCCAUUUUUGUCCAUAAUGACAUAUAAUGGUAUAAUUAAUAAAUAAGGACUUCAAAUUUAAAAUCCCAUCCGGUUGAAUCUCAACCUCUGUCAUUGAAAUUAUAUGAGAAGGGGUCGAUCUAUAAUUGCACAACAUAGACAUGUAAAAUACAUCAUGGAUCUUCUCCAACUCAGGCGGUAAAGCCAACUGAUAAGCUACCAGUCCUAUCCUUUCGAUGAUUUCAUAAGGUCCUAUGAAACGAGGACUCAACUUGCCUUUCCUACAGAAUCUCAGAACCUUUUUUCAUGGGAUACUUUCAAAAAUACUUUAUCGCCCACUUGAUACUCAAUUUUUUUUCUUUUCAAAUCUGUAUAAGACUUUUGUCUAUCCGAUGCCGCUCUUAAACAAUCUUUAAUUACUUUUACUUUGUCCUUGGUUUCCUUGACCAAGUCAACCUCGUGCAUUUUAUUUUCUUUGAGUUUUGUCUAAUACAAGGGAGUUCGACACUUCCGGCCAUACAGCGCUUCAUAGGGUGCCAUUUUUAAACUUGUCUGAAAACUAUUGUUAUAGGCAAACUCAACCAAGGGUAAGUACUUUUCCCAACUACCUUAAAAUUCUAGAACACAACAUCUCAACAUGUCUUCCAACGUUUGAAUCACUCUUUCAGAUUGGCCGUUGGUUUGUGGAUGAAAGGCAGUACUAAAAUUCAAUCUCGUGCCCAAGGCUUCUUGCAACAUUUUCUAAAACCUCGAGGUAAACCUCAGAUCUCUAUCCGAUAUGAUCGAUAAGGGUAUUCUGUGAAGUCUCACAAUUUCAGAAAUAUAUAACUCUGCCAAUUUAUCAAGCGAGUAGUCGAUACGUACCGAGAUAAAGUAAGCCUACUUCAUCAAUCGAUUAACUACGACCCACACCAUAUCUUUCUUACUCAGUGUCAAAGGUAAGCCUGUUACAAAAUCCAUGGUAAUUCGAUCUCAUUUCCACUCGGGAACCAUGAUAGGCUGUAGUAAUCCUGAAGGUACUUGGUGCUUAGCAUUUACUUGUUGACAAAUUAAGCAUCUCGCAACAAACUCGGACAUAUCUCUCUUCAUACUGUUCCACUAAUAUAUUUUCUUCAAGACGUUGUACAUUUUUGUACUAUCGGGGUGUACUGACAAACGACUAUUGUAUGCCUCAUACAAAAUUUUAUGAAUCAACUCGGUAUCUUUAGGAACACAAAUCUAUCUUGGAACAUCAAGAAACCAUCAGAAUUAACCCAAAAAUCAGAUUCAGAACCCGACUCACAGUAAGUCCUCUUAGCUUGCAAUUCAUUGUCGUUAUUCUGAGCUUCACAAAUUUCUAGAAGAAACAUCGACCUAGCUCUCAAAUCUGCUACGACAGUACCAUCAUCUGAUAAAGCCAACCGAAAAUCCAUGACUCUCAAAGCAAACAAAGAUUUUCUACUUAGGGCAUCGGCGACCACAUUCGCCUUUCCCGAAUGAUAGUCGAUUAUUAACUCAUAAUCUUUUAUCAACUCUAACCAUCUCUGUUGCCUAAGAUUUAAAUCCUUUUGAGUCAUUAGGUAUUUCAAACUCUUGUGGUCAGUGAAUAUUCGGCAUAUCUCGCCAUACAAAUGGUGUCUCCAAAUCUUCAAUGCGAACACAAUGGCGGCUAGUUCUAAAUCAUGUGUCGGGUAAUUCUUUUCAUGCGAUUUCAGUUGUCUAGAUGCAUAGGCUAUCACUUUGCCUUCUUGCAUAAGCACACAUCCCAAACCAUUCAAGGAUGCAUCAAUAAAGAUCACGAACUCCUUUCCUAGCUCAGGUUGAACUAAUACUGGAGCUUCAGUCAGCAACGCUUUUAGUUUCUCAAAACUCUGUUGGCACUUCUCUGUCGAUUCGAACUUAACAUCCUUUUGUAACAACUUCAUCAUUGGAGUGAUAAUCAUCGAAAAUCCUUUAACAAACCGUCUGUAAUAACCGGCCAAGCCUAAAAAGCUUCUAACCUCUGUCACAUUCUUCGGCGGUUUCUAGUCAAUAAUAGCUGAAAUCUUACACGGGUCAACUCUAAUACCGUCUCCCGUAACAAUGUGUCCUAAAAACCCAACUUCACGAAGCUAAAAUUUGCUUUUACUGAACUUGACAUACAACUAUUUGUCCCUCAAAGUCUACAAAAUAGUUCUCAAGUGCUCGGCAUGCUCUGCUUCAUCUUUUUAAUAAAUCAGAAUAUCAUCGAUGAACACCACAACAAACUUAUCUAAAUAUGGCUAAAAUAUUCGGUUUAUUAAAUCCAUAAACAUGACAGGAGCAUUCGUUAACCCAAAUGACAUAACUAGAAAUUUGUAGUGGCCAUACCUCAUUCUGAAGGUAAUCUUAGGCACAUCUGACUCUUUAACCCGCAACUGAUAGUAGUCAGAACUUAAGUCUAUCUUUGAAAAUAUAGUGGCUCCUUUCAAUUGAUCAAAUAGGUCAUCAAUCCUUGGAAAAGGAUACCUGUUCUUUAUAGUCACCUUGUUGAGCUGUCGAAAUAGCCUCAUUGAACCAUCUUUCUUUUUCACAAAUAAUAUAGGAGUGCCCCAAGGUGAAAGGCUCGGUCUCGUAAAACCCUUAUCAAUCAACUCCUAUAACUGAACCUUCAACUCUUUUAAUUCUAUUGGGGCCAUCCUAUACGGAGCAAUCAAAAUAGGCAUAUAUCGAGAGUCAAAUCAAUGCCAAACUCCACUUCCCUAAUAGGAGGUAACCCCGGUAAUUCUUUCGGGGAACACAUUCGGAUAUUCACACACUAUUGGUAUCGACUCAAUCUUAACUCAAACUCUUUAGUGUUCAACACAAAGGCAAGGUAAGCUUUAUACCCCUUUCUUAUACAUUUCUAAGCAGACAUGGAAGAAAUCACUGCAGGCAUGCCAUUCAAUUCAUCUGGUUCAAUCCCAAGAACAUUACCAUUCUCACAUUUCAGUUCAAUAAACUUUCUUCAACAAUUCAUUACCACAUCGUGAGUGGUCAACUAAUCCAUACCAAGAAUUACAUCAAAUUCAUCAAAUGGUAAUAGCAUGAGAUUAGCCAGAAAAAAAUGACCUCUAAUCAUUAAAGGGUAAUUUUUACACACUUUAUCAACUAAUAGGUUUGACACCUUUAUUACGAACUCAGUAGAUUCAACAAACAAGUUCAUAUCAGACACCAACUUCAUGCAAAUAUACAAAUGGGUAGACCCCGGAUCAAUUAAAACAAUAACAAAAGUUUCAUAGAUAGAAAAUAUACUCGUAAUUACAUCAAAAGAUAGUGCAAAUGGCGUAGGUCCUCGUAGGUGCCCUACCAUCGGGUCUCACCGCAGACUCCCUAGGUGCACCCUUACUACUCGUUCGACUACUCGGAUCUUCUGAGGUCUUCUCUUAUUAGUAUUGCUAUCUGACCUUGUUCCUUGAAAGUUUCCUCUCCCUGUCCUCCCCAGACAAUCUCUAACAAAAUGGUCAGGGGAACUGCACUUAAAAUAGGUUCUAUCGCCCCCUUGGCACUCUCCGGGGUGAUGCCUCCCGCACUGGAGGCAUCGAUCUAUUGGGUCAAGCUUUCCCAACACUAGCAAUUGAAGUAGUCUGAGCUUUCAAAACCGUGUACUAUUUACUCCUAUUCUUGCCUGAAUACCCAGUAGAGGCAAUAGAUUGAGUAGUGAACUCUCUUGACUUCUUAGAUGAAGUUUGAAAAUAUUUGUUCAGUUGCUUCUUCCUCGGGUCUCGAGACUCCAGAUUGACUUUCCGCUUUUGUUUAGCCAAUUCUUCAGCCUUGCAUGCUCGCUCGACCAACAUAACAAACUCUUUCAACUCAAGGAUACCAACCAACAAUCGAAUGUCUUCGUUCAGCCCAUCCUCAAAUUUUUUACACAUGUUGGCUUCAGUAAAUACACAUUCCCGAGCAUAUUUGCUAAGCCUCACAAAUUCACGCUUGUAUUCAGUAAUUGUCAUUUUACCUUGUUUCAACUCGAGGAACUCCUUCCUAUUUUGAUCCAUAAACUUUUGGCUGAUGUACUUCUUGUGAAACUCCUCUUGGACUAAGUCACUUUCUCCCUCAACACAACUGAAACGAGGGUAUUCCACCACUGGUAAGUUGAAUCUCUUAGAACCGAUACCACGCCACUUCAUGCACUCCUCCGAUGUGCAUGGAAACUCAUCAAAGACCCGGAUGGUAUUCUCGAGCUAGAAUUUUGCUCUUUCCGGAUCAUUAUCUAUGUUAGCUAGGAACUCUUCGGCUCCUUACUUUCUAAUCCGGUCAACUGGAGGCCUUUCCCUUCUCACCAUCUCAAAAACUUGGGAAGCUACAUGGAUAGGCUGAGGAAUAGGCGAGAGUGGGGGAGGUUGAACACCCGGGUUUGUCUGAACAAACUCAGUAUACCAGUUAUUCAUCAUGUGGAGAAAAGCUUCUAUGUCUCAUUCUUCUCUAUUAACUAUCUCGGUUCUACUAUAAGAUGACACUACUUCAGUGGGAGCAGGCACGUUACUUUUUACAUCGUCAGCAAUAGCUCGUUCGGGAUCCAUUUACUAUAUAAAACACAAUUUAAAUUGUCAAGAGUUGUCACACUAUUAUAAUGUACGUAUGGCAUGUAUAGCUAGACUUCCACACUCACUACGUAGUCCAAAAACUGACUAAAUUGUAGCUCUGAUACCAAUAAAUGUAACACCCCUUACCCAUGUCUAACGUCGGGACGGAUACAGGGCAUUACUGGACUAAAACAUAAACAUACACACAGAACUGAGCCAUAAAAUUUCUUUGGAAUACAAAAUGUACAUACACAUGCAACUCGUCUUUAUUACGGGCCUACAAGGCCCAAAGCAUACAUCGGGGGGUGGUUUGGGACCAUACCGUGAACUUUAGAAAUUUUUUUCAUAAAAUAGAGUUACACGCCCGUAUGGGCACAGGGACACGCUUGUGCGUCCCAGACACGCCUGUGUCUCUAGGCUGUGUAACUCUCUAUUUAUGACAUCAGUAUCAAUUAAAGAUCAGACGGCCAAGUCACACACUCGUGUGCCAGGCCGUGCAGCGAAUUUAAUUUUGCAUUUAAGGUGCUGACUUCACAUGGCCUGGGCACACGCCCAUGUCCUAGGGCCGUGUCCUUCACACGGUUGAGACACACGGCCGUGUCUCUACCUGUGUGUUUACUACCAUGCACACUGGCUUGUAAAACUAAGGUGCAGGGAACACACGGCUGGACAACAGGCCUAUAGGGCCAACCUUGUGUCACACACGGCCUACAUACAUGCCCGUGUGUCUACCCGUGUAAACAACUUUGAGCCUAUUUUCCAAGCCCUCUUGUCACCCUUAACAACACUUACACUCAUAUGUCAAUGGUGAUUAUUAUGGCAUAUAGGGGUUAUAUAGAUAUCCAUAGCUUUAACUCAUGCAUGAUAAAUUCACAUCACGUAUACCUAAUCGGGACUCCAUGACUUGUUAAGUUCAUUCAAUCCAUUUCUUUACCUUUAUCAUUAUGGUGACCAUGCCAAUUGACAUCAUUUAUCCAUCAGGCAUAAAUUCCAUAUUUUGUCAGCCAUUAUUUACAACUAAUUUGGCAUACACCACAAGGGUAAUAACACAUUUCAUGCAUGUAUUAAUAUUUAGGGAUUGCAACCCAAUAAUUAGUAUGAGCCAUAUUUCAUGGCCAUAUACAAAAUGGAAUAAUAUACUAAAAUGAGCCAUCACUUUGGCUAACAAAUAUGACUGUAACACCCUACGCCCGAACCUUUCACUGGGACAAAAUACGAGGUAUUACCUAACUUUAAAAUCAUGCUAACAAACAAUUCUAAGUCUCCGAAAAUCUGCUCAAUUUAAAACUUUUUCAAUUUCUACAUUAAGCUUAUUGUCAUGGGCCUACGAUCCCCAAAUCACCAUACAAAACUAUUCAGGAUCAACCCGGGCCCUUAAGCCAACUAUAGAAAAUUGACACUUGACACAGGGGCACACGCCCAUGUGGAAGGGCAACACGCCCGUGUGACCAUUUCAACCUGGUCGUGCUGAUGGCUCAUGUGUCUCACACUACCUAAGCAAAACAAGGACACGCCCGUGUCCUUCACCGGUGUGGAAUUAAUUCUAAAUGUACCUACAGGGGUUUUCACAUGGCCUGGCCCACGCCCAUGUUCCUGGCCCGUGUCCUUCACAUGGCCAUGACACGCCUGUGUCCUAUCCCAUGUGUAAAAACAUGGACAUUCUAUUUCUGAUGUCAGCAAACCCAAAAUGUCAUACGGCCAAGGCGCAUGCCUGUGUGCUAGGUCGUGUUCCUCGCACGGUUGAGACACACACCGUGUCUCUGCCCGUAUGUUUACUAUCAUGCAUACUGACUUGAAAUUUUUACGUGCAAGGGACACAUGGCUGGACAACACACCCAUGGGGCUGACCAUGUGUCUACCCAUGUAUACAAUAUAAGGCUAUUUACCAAGCCUCUUUGCCACCCUUACUUACACAACCUACCCAAUAACCACCAAAUCCAACAUAAAACUAUCUCGAGCAACCAAAUCAUCUACAAUAAACAACAUACCAUUUACGCAUUUUACUCAACCAUGAAAAUAACUUCAUUCCAUACAAAUAAAAAUGAACAUUAGCCAUCAUUUGAGGCUUAAUAAAAAAUGAGGGAUUUAUCCGAAUCCAACACAUUUGGCCAAGUUAAUAUUAACACAAAACAUAAGUCUAGUUCCCUAUGCAUGCCAUAUUCAAAAAUAUAAAUCAAACUAUACCGAAUGCUUCGAUUGAUAGUGUGAUCGAUAUUUCUGACUUUUGUUGAUCCUUGAGCUAGAUAGGCGGCACUUUAAGAAAAAUGAAAGGAGAGGGAGUAAGCAUAAAGCUUAGUAAGUUGCAUAUAAAUAAAUAUACAACAACAAUUUUACCAUUCAUUAACAUGCUCAUAACAAAAAAGUAGGCGCAAGCAUAACUUACUCAUCACUAUCCAUAUAUUUCUCAUAGCAAAUAUCAAGCUUAUAUCUCAUACUUCUCAAAUAGGUACCUAUACCACUCACAACACGAUUAUACCAUGCUCAUUAACUUAAAGUCAUAAUACUCACCGUUGAACCAUUCAAAACAUUACCGGAUAUUCAUUAAGCCUCAAACGUGGGUAAUGUGCCAGUGUCAUGUCCCAGACACGGUCUUACACUGGCUCAUAUCUCAUGUCGAUGCCAUGCCCCAGACAUGGUCUUACGCUGACUAUCAUCUCGUAACCGAUGCAUGUCCCAAACAUGUCUUACACUACCUUACGUCUCGAGGCCGAUGCAUGUCUCAGACAUGUCUUACACUAGCACUCGUCUAGAUGCCGAUGCAAUGUCCCAAACAUAGUCUUACACCAACUCUCAUAAUGUGGCUGAUGCAUCUCCUAGACAUGUCUUACACUAGCCCACAAUAACCCAUAUGUCAUGGAAUGAAUAUCCAAUAUAUUUCCUAAGUUUGAACGGGAACUCUACUAUCUCUAUUAUCAUCAUAGUUUCUCAAUUUCAAAAUCAAGCAAUUCAUGCUAUAUUAAUUCAAAUACAAUUCAACACAUAUACAUUAGUGAUGAAGUUGUAUUAUUUACAUACAACUUACCUCGGAUUACAAAAUGAGACAACUAGUCGAUUUAGUCGAUUUGCUUGGCUUUUCCCCGAUCUAGGUUCAGAUUUUGUAUUUCUUCAUCUAUAAUAAAAAAAAUUCACAAAUUUAAUCACUUUAUCGAUCUAGGUGUUCAAUAACCUAUAUUUGGGCAAAAUGACCAUUUUACCCCUAGACUUUUACAAAAUGACCAUUUUACCCUUAGCUCUGAAAAUCUAUUUUUAUCGAAUUUUUUCACAUCUUAAGCUUAGCUGGACCCCUUUUACUCUUAUAUAAACUCCAAAUUCCCACUAUUUCACACACUUAACAUCUAUUUUACAACUUAUGCAAUAUAGUCCUUUUAGGUGUUUUCAUGCUAACACCUUUCACAAAAGUUGUUUAUAAGACACCCAAGACUCAUCUUCUUCCAUAAAAACUCAGAAAACAUCACAAAUCCAUUCAUGGAAAAAACCUAAAAUCUUAAUCAUUUUGCAAAAUAGUACCUUCAUUAGAAAGCUCAUGCUUCAAGGGGUCCAAAAAUGUAAAAAUCUUCAAGAAACUCAUUAAAAUCACUUACUUGUAGAGAGACUAAGUGGCUAAAAAUUUUGAUGCUCAAAACCCCUCUAAUGGCUACAUUUUCCGGUGAUGAAGAAGAAGAGGAAAAGUUGAUAUCUUUUUCUCCUUUUUUUUAUUUUAGUCAAAAUUGGUCACCAACUCACCUAAUUUUGACAAAUUUGUCUCCUCUUUGACUCUAUGGCCGGCUAGGACCCUUCCUAAGGUCUAUUUUCCCUUUAAAGACCCCCAAUUUAGGUUUCAUGGAAAUUUAACACCCUUAGCUAUCAAUUUAAGACUUUUUCACUUUAUGCGAUUUAGUCCUUUUUCUCAAUUAGGCUUCCAAACGCUAAAAUUUACUCACCAAUUUUUUCACGUACUCUUAAAAACAUGCUAAUACAUCAAAAUAAUAAUAAAAUAAUUUUCCUUACAUCGAAUUUGUGGUUCCGAGACCACUAUUUUGACUAGGCCCUAAAUGGGGUUGUUACAAUAACACAUAUAACAAAAUAAUAAGUCCCCUAUACAUUUCAUACUUAAAUGUAAUAAACCAAUUAUACCCCAAAGGAUUUGUUGAUAGUGUGACUAGCGCUCCGAUGUUCACGAUCCUCGAGCUAGCUUGACAAUGCUAAAAGAAAAAGGGAAAGAGAGAGAGGUAAGCAUAUAGCUUAGUAAGUCGUGUGCAAAUAAUAAACAACAGAGAUCAUGAAACUCACGGAAUAAACAUGCUAUCAAUUACCACCACAUUAUCAUAUUACACAUAAUGAACAUAUCGAGAAUUAAUAAUAAAUGUCUUUGAGCUUCAUGCUUAUCUUACUCUUUCAUACCCUCACGAAAUUUCCAAACAUUAAUCAAGUCCAAUACUCAUGAGGUUUACGUACAUACCUAUACCAUACAUUCUUACUCAUUCUACCCCACUUCUUAAUCAUAAUCUUGAAUGGCCCAUUGAAUUACCUGGAAUACUAAAGGAUGUUCAGAAUCAUCAUAUCCCAAAUAGAAUGCCAAAGCCAUUUCCCCAAAAUGGUCUUACAUGGGUCUACAUAUCGAUGCCAUAUCCCAGAUAUGGUCUUAUACGAAGUCUCAUGUUGGUGUCGAUGCCAUGUCCCAGACAUAGUCUUACACAAGACCUCACAUCGAUGCCAUGUCCCAGACAUAGUCUUACACGAAAUCUCAUAUCAACGCCAUAUCCCAGAUAUGGUCUUACAUCAAAUCACAUACCGAUGCCGAUGCCAUAUCCCAGAUAUGGUCUUACUCUGGCACACAUAUCAACGCCGAUGCCAUGUCCUAGACAUGGUCUUACAUUGGCUCUCAUGUCAACGCCGAUGCCAUGUCCUAGACAUGGUCUUACACUGGCUCUCAUCUCGAAUGUCGAUGCCAUGUCCCAGACAUGGUUUUACAUGGGAUCUCAUUAAUCGAGGUGUCAUGAUAUCCGAACCUUAAGCAUUCCUCAGGGUCACCCGGAACUUCCGAGAUAUAAAGUUAUCACCAAACUUUCAUUAAAUCGUCACAAGCCAAUUUCAUUAGGGCAUUCAUACAUAUAUCAUAGAACAUCAAUUAUUAAACGCAUGAUAAUGGAAUUGUUAAAUUACUUAUAGACAACUUACCUCGGUGCGAAAUAUGACAAUUUGUGAUUUAAUCCACAACCUUGUCUUUUCCUCGGUCAAGGUCUAUUCCUCAUCCCUUUUGAUCUAGAAUAGCACAGUUAACUCAUUUAAUACACGCACUAUUUAAUUCAGUCCAAAAAUCACACUAUGUAAAAAUUACAAUUUUUGCCCUAAAGUUUUAGAAAAUUACCCUUAGGCUCGUAAAAUGAAAAACACCCCAUGUUUCUCAUUAUUCAAACCUAGCCAAAUCAUUUUCUCUCUUAUACCAACCCACAUUUUUAUUUGUUCACACAUUUACACAUAGUUUUUACAACUUUUACAAUUUGGUUAUUUUUAUUAAUUCCACCAAAAACCACAUAGUAAAAGUUGUUUUUCACACCUAAAACGUCCAUAUUCUUCCAUUAGAGAUCAAAGCAGAAGCAUGUCAUUCAUGGGUAUAUUUUUGAACAUGAACCCUAGCUCAAAUUAAGGAUAGAAAUAGCUAAAUCGAGUUACGAGGAUUUCAAAAAUAUAAAGAACAUUAAAAACAGGGCUAGGAUGCACUUACUUUUGAGCUUGAAAGAUGAAAGAAACCCUAGCUAUGGCUUCUUGAAAAUUUCAGCCAAGGAGAAUGAAGAUGGACAUAAUUUUUGACUAUUUUCCCUUUUAAUUCUUUUAAUAACCAAUGGACUAAAAUGCCCUUCUAUUGAAACCUUGAGAUUUUAUCCCUCCUAUGUCCAUUUUUGUCCAUAAUGACAUAUAAUGGUAUAAUUACUAAAUAAAGACUUCAAAUUCAAAAUCCCAUCACAUUUAAGCCACAUUAAUCAACUAAAACACAUGUUUUUCACUUAUUGCAAUUUAGUCCUAAUAGCUCAAUUGGGCACCUUAUUGGUAACAUUUCUCGUUGAUAUUUUCAAACAAUUAUUAAAUCACACAGUAGACCUUAAAACUUUAUCAAUAGCAAUAUUUCCAGCUAAAAUUUGUGGUUUCAAAGCCACUUUUUUGUUUAGGCCCUAAUUUGGGAUGUUAUAAAAUGUAGGUUGCUAUAGUUAUAAAAAGGGUUCGGCUAGGCUUAAAGUAUAAAGAAAUUGAAUGAAAAUCAUUUUAUGAGUCUAGGGGAAAAAGUCUAAAUAUGACAAAGUUUAGGGGCAAAAAUGUAAAUUUUCAAUAGUAUGAUUUUUGGGUCACAAUGAAUAAUGUGACUAAUAAGUAAGCUAAAUGUGAUGUUAUAGAUCAAAGAAAACGAGGUUCAGACUUAGAACGGGGGAAAAAUAAGUAAUUAACGGUUAGGUCCCUGUUUGCCAUUUUUGGUGUCGGGGUAAGUUUGUGUGUAAAUAAUUCAACAUCAUGUUAUUAUGUAUUUGAUGUUUUGAUAUUGCAUGAAAUGUAUAUUUAUCUCUACGGAUUUGAUUAAUGAUAACUCGGUGACAAUUCGACGAAGUAUUGAUACUGCAAAUUCCUGAUUGAACCUUAGGAAUAGUUAGGAUACAAAUGUCAUGACAUUAGGUUUAUGUGAGAUCGCAUGUAAGACCAUGUCUAGGACAUGGAAUUGACAUCAAUAUGUGAUCCCAUGUAAGACCUUAUCUGGGAUAUGACAUUGACAAUGAUAUAUGAUUUCGUGUACGACCAUGUUUGGGACAUGGCAUCGAUAUGAGCCAUCGUGUAAGACCAUAGCUGGGCAAUCGGCUUCAACUUGUGAUCCCAUGUAAGACCAUAUCUGGGAUAUGUUAUUGGCAUCUUACAAUGUAUAUGAGAAUUCCAAAGUAUCCUUUAGUAUCCCAAGUGGUUCAACGGGUAAUCCAAAGAUUAUUGUAACACCCCUUACCCAUACCCAAGACCGGGACCAGGUAUGAGGCUUUACCAGGCAUGUACUAGAACAUUUUCAAGAAAUACGGUUUAUAAAAUUUUGUUCCAAUUUGAAACCAAUCCAAUAGCAUCUUGGUGUCUCUAUUAUGAGCCUACGAGGCUCAAACAUACAUUGAAAUUGAUCCAGGACUAAACCGAUGACCUAAUAAAAAUUUAAGAAAAAUUCUGAGUUAAAAGUCUCUCAUGCCCGUGUGGAGACAUUGCACACGCCCCUGUGCUUUGGGACACGCCCGUGUGCUUUGGGACACGCCCGUGUACUUUGGGACACACCCGUGUCCCCUACUUGUGUAGGAUUAAUUGAAUUUAUUUUCUACCUCAAACCUACAGGGUUUUUCACACGGCCAAGCACACGCCCCCGUGGCUCCGGCCCGUGUCCUUCACACGGCUUUGACACGCUCGUGUCCAAAAACUUGAGCAUUCUUUUUAUGACAUCGGCAUGCAUUUAGGGGCACACGGCCAAAACACACGUCCGUGUGUUAGGUCGUGUCCUCAACACAAUUGAGACACAUGACCGUGUCUCUACCCGCGUGUUUUCUACUUUGCAUUCUGACUUAAAAUUUUAGGUGCAGGGGAUACAUAGUUAUGCCAUACGCCUAUGGGGUGGUCCGUGUGUCACACACGAUCUAGACACAUGCCCAUGUGUCUACCCAUGUGGACCAUGUUAGGUUAUUUUCCAAGCCUUUGGUCACCUUCUAACAUAUGUUCUCAGUUAUAGGUUUCCAUAACAUAUAGCCAGGCCUAAUUAUACUCUCAAAUGACAUCGAUGAACCUCGUUGAAUGUAAACCUCAUUUCAUCGGUCUUACACAUGCUAGGAUUAUUUCUCUUGUAUCAAGAAUGUCUUUGCCUUAUAACACAUUCAAUAUUGGCUCAUUAUUAUAACUCAUUGCCAAUUAUGGUCUAGCCAUCUCAUGUGAUUCGGUCAUGUUACAUGUGUAUCUACUUGUGAUACACCAUGUUUAUUCAUCUCAAUAACAUUAGAACACAAAUAUGCACAACUAUGUAGGUCAUACCUUAUAACAAAAUGAGCCAAAUCCUAUGGCCAUAUGCAUGUGGACAUCUACACCUUACAAGCCUUCAUAUUGGCUAAUCAAAUGACACAUAUUACAAAAUUAACAAAAGCCCUAUACAUGCCAUUAAACAAAAUAAGAGUAUCUAUAUACCAAAGCUAGACAAGAUGAUAGUGUGUUGACUCUCCAACUGUCUUCUAAUUUUCGUGAGUCCACGAGCUCUGUAAGACAGGGAAAAGAGAGGGGUAAGCAUUUACAUGCUGAGUAAGCCCGAAUAACUGGAAAAUAAACUUACCAAUUUGUUUAGCAUGCAACCAUAUUAGGCAAAUAAACCAACAAGUAUGGAAUGGUUUCCCUAUCACAUGCACUCUAUCAACAAGUUAGUCACAUAACAUCACACCAUGUAACUUAUCUAAGAUGAGCUCAUCAUUCAAGGUUUUCAUUUUUGUAUCACAUAUUAACCCUAUUGAGUUACUCAAAAAAUCUCGAUGGAUUAUCCAUUUACCGUCAAGUCAUAAGAGCGAUCAUCUCAUGUAUGCACUCCCGCGAACCUCACAUUAUACAGCAGGAUUACCAGUUCAGGAUUGGCUCAUUAUUAGAACUCAUUGCCAAUUAUGGUCUAGCCAUCUCAUGUGAUUCGGUCAUGUUACAUGUGUAUCUACUUGUGAUACGCCAUGUUCAUUCAUCUCAAUAACAUUAGAACACAAAUAUGCACAAUUAUGUAGGUCAUACCUUAUAACAAAAUGAGCCAAAUCCUAUGGCCAUAUGCAUGUGGACAUCUACACCUUACAAGCCUUCAUAUUGGCUAAUCAAAUGACACAUAUUACAAAAUUAACAAAAGCCCUAUACAUGCCAUUGAACAAAAUAAGAGUAUCUAUAUACCAAAGCUAGACAAGAUGAUAGUGUGUUGAUUCUCCAAUCGUCUUCCAAUCUUCGUGAGUCCACGAGCUCUAUGAGGCAGGAAAAAGAGAGGGGUAAGCAUUUACAUGCUUAGUAAGCCCGAAUAACUGGAAAAUAAACUUACCAAUUUGUUUAGCAUGCAACCAUAUUAGGUAAUAAACCAACAAGUAUGGAAUGGUUUCCCUAUCACAUGCACUCCAUCAACACGUUAGUCACAUAACAUCACACCAUGUAACUUAUCUAAGAUGAGCUCAUCAUUCAACGUUUUCAUUUUUGUAUCACAUAUUAAUCCCGUUGAGUUACUCAAAAAAUCUCGAUGGAUUAUCCAUUUACCGUCAAGUCAUAAGAGCGAUCAUCUUAUGUAUGCACUUUCGCGACCCUCACAUCAUACGGCGAGAUUACUAGUCCAUGCUAAAUCCCCCGUAAUGUAAACUCAUAAGGUGAUGUCGGGAUUACCAUUCCAGGCUAAAUCCCUUAUAGAGACAAACACCCUCAAUGAGCUCGGAUUUGAAUUACCAGUCCAGGCUAAAUUCAGACCCUAAUCGGAUUACCAGUCUGGGCUAAAUCCACAAUGCACACAUAUUCUUCGGGAGGCUCGAUCACUCAAGGAACACCCGUCCGGGCUAGAUCCUUUUUAUAUUUUAGAUCAACGGAUUACCCGGCUGGGCUAAAUCCUUUUCUGCAACACAUGCAGGAUCUCAACUCAUGUAAGCCAAGGUUUAUCCAUCGAAUUUCCCUUUUUAUUUCAACCGGGACAUUUAUCAUUAUAUCAUUAUUAUUUACAUAUUUCAUGGAUUUUCAUGCCAUCAUUAUAACUAAAUAUCAUGCAUUCAUAACACGCGUAAUUAGACAUAUUAAUAGUUUACUUAAAGUUAUUUGAACUUACCUGGUAUUCGUCUCGGUUUUGCGUUUCGGUUAUUCUGAAACCUUUCGUUUUCCUCGAUCGACCUCCGAAAUUUACUCCUCGGGGUCUAUAACAAUAAAAAUGAAUCACUAAUACCUCACAUUUUUACGAUGUAGUCCCUAGGCUCGUAUAAUAAAAUGUAUGUAAUUUCUACCUUACCCAAGCUUAGCCGAUUGUUCUUUCCUCUUAUGGAAGCCCACAUUUUUCCAUUAUUUCUCAUCUUUCUACCCAUUUUUACAACUUUUACAAAAUGGUCCCUAAAACCAUUUCCAUGAAAAAUCACUUAGUAAAAGUUGUUUACCAUAUUUUAAACUUUUAUUUUCCUCCAUAAACCAUCAAAAUACAAAUAACUCAUGCAUGGGUAAAUUUCUAAACAUGAACCCUAGCAUGAAAUAUGGGUAGAAAUAGAGAGAGUAAGUUACCAAGAUUUCAAAAAUGCGAAGAACAUUAAAACGGGGCUUGGGAGCACUUACUAUUGAGCUUGAAAAUGUUGAAAACCCUAGCUAUGGAGGGAUUGAGAAAUUCAGCUAGAUGAGGGAGAAGAAUGGAUGAUUUUUUCCUUCAUUUUCCAAUUUUAUUUCAUUAAUUAGCCAAAUGACCAAAAUGCCCUUAAGCCAUUUCUUUAAAAUUUUAUCCAUACAUGCCUAUUUUUGCCCACAAACUUAGAAAUUGGGAAAAUUUCUCUUUAAGACCUUUUAAUUAAUAAUAUAAACCAAUUUCAUACAAAUUGGUUCUAGAAUCCAAGUUUAACAAUUUAUUCAAUUUGGUCAUUAUUUUCCAAUUGGACACCUUACUCAUAGAAUUUCCUCAUGAAACUUUAACAUAUACAUAUUUUCAUAUUCUAGACCUCAUAAUAAUCAUAAAAUAAAUAUUUCAAUGUCGAAUUUGUGGUCCUGAAACCAUUGUUCUGACUAGGCCCUAUUUUGGGAUGUUACAUUUCUGCUCCGUUUAGGGACUUUCGUCCUCAAAAGUCUUACCAGUAAAGAAGUUCGGAUAUUGGCUUCUCAUGGUUUCUUCUGGCUCCCAUGUAGGCACUUCCACACCAUGUCAAUGCCAUAAGACUUUUACUAAAGCCACAUAUUUAUUUCUUAGCUGUUUAACCUCAUGAGCCAAAAUUUUGACUGGUUCAUCACCAUAAGUCAUGUUCGGUGUAAUUUCAAUCUCCGUCGGUAAAAUCACAUGAGAGGGAUCUAAUCGAUAUCAUCUUAAUAUAGAUACAUGGAACACAUCAUGAAUCUUUUCUAGUUCUGGUGGCAGUGCCAAACGAUAGGCUAAUGGUCCAAUUCUUUCAGUGAUCUCGUAUGGUCUGAUAAAUCGCGGGCUCAGUUUGCCUUUCAGGCCAAAUCUCAAUACCUUUUUCCAUGGAGAUACUUUUAAGAAUACUCAAUCUCCUAUUUAAAAUUUGAUCUCUUUUCUUUUUAGAUCAGCAUACGACUUUUUCCUAUCCGAUGUCACUUUUAAACAGUUACGUAUCACUUUAUCCUUUUCUUUAGUUUCCUUGAUCAGAUCAACUCCGUGAAUCUGAUUCUCUUUGAGUUCCUUCCAAUAUAAUGGAGUUUGGCACUUCCUGCCAUACAAGGCCUCGUAAGGUGCCAUCUUCAAACUUGUUUGAAAGUUAUUGUUGUAGGCGAACUCUACUAAUGACAGGUAUUUUUCCCAGCUGCCCUGAAAUUCAAGGAUGCAACAUCGUAACAUAUUCUCUAGAAUCUAAAUCAUCCGCUCAGAUUGACCACCGGUCUGCAGGUGAAAAUCUGUACUAAAGCUCAACUUUGUACCCAAGACUUCUUGUAACUUCUUCUAGAAUUUCGAAGUGAAACUCGGGUCUCUGUCUGAAAUAAUCGAUAGUGGUACCCCGUGUAAUCUCACAAUCUCAGAUAUAUACAAGUCAGCCAACUUGUCAAGUGAAUAAUCUAUCCUUACCAGAAUAAAAUGAGCCGUCUUUGUGAACUUAUCAACCACAACCCAUAUAGCAUCUUUGUUUUUCGGGGUUAAUGGUAAUCUUGUCACGAAGUCCAUAGUGAUUCUGUCCCAUUUCCAUUCGAGGACCAUCACAGGCUAUAGCAAACUAGAAGGUACUUGAUUUUCAGGCUUGACUUGCUGGAAUAUCAAGCAUUUCAAUACGAAUUCGAAGAUGUCUCUUUUCAUGCCAUUCCACCAGUACAUUUUUCUUUAAAUCAUUGUACAUUUUGGUACUUCCAAGAUGAAUAGACAAACGGCUAUCAUGUGCUUCUUGCAAGAUUUUUAGAAUAAUUUCAUUAUUCCUCAGUACGUAAAGUCUAUCUUUGAACAUCAAACAUCCAUCGGGACUAACUUGAAAAUCUGAUUCAAUGCCCAACUCACAUUGAGCUCUUUUAGCCUGCGGGAUACUAUCAUUAGUCUAAGCAUCAUAAAUUUCCUGAAGAAAUGUCAGCUUGACCCUUAAAUCUACCAAGACCGAACCAUCAUCAAAUAAUUUCAAUCGAGUGUUCAUGGCCCUCAAUGCAAAUAAAUAUUUUCUGCUCAACGCGUCAGCGACCACAUUCGCCUUUCCCGAAUGAUAAUCGAUGAUUAGCUCAUAGUCUUUAAUUAAUUCUAACCAUCUCCGCUAUCUCAGAUUCAAUUCUUUUUGAGUCAUUAAAUACUUCAAACUCUUGUGGUCUGUGAAUAUAUGACAAGUCUCACCAUAUAAGUAAUGCCUCCAGAUUUUCAAGGCAAAAACAAUGGCGGUAAGCUCUAAAUCAUGCGUCGGAUAAUUCUUCUCGUGUGGCUUCAACUGCCACAAAGCAUAGGCUAUCACCUUACCAUCUUGCAUAAGUACACAACCCAAUCCAUUUAAGGAUGCAUCACUAUAGACCACAAACUCUUUUCCCGACUCAGGCAAUACUAAAACUGGAGCAUCAGUCAGCAAUGUCUUCAACUUUUUGAAACUCUACUGGCACUUCUCUGUCCAUUCAAACUUAACCUCUUUUUGUAGUAACCUCGACAUCGGAGUCGCGAUCAUGGAGAAUCCUUUCACAAAUCUUCGGUAGUAACCGGCUAAUCCCAAAAAGCUUCUAACAUCGGUUACAUUUUUAGGUGGUUUCCAUUCAUCAAUUGCAGAGAUUUUACUUGGAUCAACUUGGAUGCCAUCACCUGAAACAAUAUGACCCAAAAACCCUACUUCUUGGAGCCAAAAUUCACUAUUGCUAAACUUAGCAUACAAUUGCAUUUCCCAUAAAGUCUGCAACACAGUUCUCAAAUGCUUCGCAUGCUCCAUCUCAUCCUUAGAAUAAAUCAAAAUGUCGUCAAUGAACAUAAUGACGAACUUGUCCAAGUAUGGCCGAAAUAUCCUAUUCAUUAGGUCUAUAAAUACGGCCGGUGCAUUUGUUAACCCAAACGGUAUGACAAGAAAUUCAAAGUGGCCAUACCUCGUUCUAAAAGUUGUCUUUGGUACGUUCGACUCCUUAACCCGUAACUGAUAGUAGUCAGAUCUCAUGUCUAUCUUAGAGAAUACAGUAGCUCCCUUCAAUUGGUCGAACAAAUCAUCAAUCCUUGGCAAAGGAUACUUAUUCUUGAUAGUCACAUUGUUCAAUUGCCAAUAAUCUAUACACAGCCUCAUUGAACCAUUUUUCUUUUUUACAAAUAAUAUGGGAGCACCCCAAGGCGAAAAGCUUGGCCUUACAAAACCUUUAUCCGUCAGCUCUUGCAACUAUGCUUUUAAUUCUUUCAGCUCGGUUGGUGCCAUCCUAUACGGAGCAAUAGAAAUAGGAGCUAUCCCUAGCACCAGUUCAAUACCAAACUCUAUCUCUCUUUUAGGAGGUAAUCUGGGUAAUUCCUCCGGGAACACAUCUGGAUAUUAACAUACUAUUGGCACAGACUCAAUCUUCAACUCUAUUUCCUUAGUGUUUAGUACAAAAGCAAGGUAGGCUUCGCACCCUUUUCUCAUAUAUUUUUGAGCAACCAUUGCUAUGAUUACAACCGGCAGUGUAUCCAAUUCUUUUGAAACAACCCGUAGAACCUUACCAUCUGGGCACUUCAAUUCAAUAUGCUUGCUACCACAGUUUACAAUUAUAUCAUGCAGGGCUAACCAAUCUAUGCCAAGUAUUACAUCAAACUUAUCAAAUGGCAAUAACAUAAGGUUAGCCAGAAAGCAAUGACCCUGAAUCGACAAAAGAUAAUUCUUACAGGCUUUAUCAACUAGAACUGACUUGCCUAAGGGGUUCGACACUCUGAUUAUAAAUUUUGUAGGUUCAAAUGGUAUAUUCAUACUAGACACCAAUCUCAUGCAAAUGUAUGAAUGCGUUGACCUCGGAUCAAUUAAAGCAACAACACAAGUAUUAAAAAGAGAAAAAGUACCCGUGAUAACGUCAGUAGCAGAGGCUUCCUCUCGAGCGCGUAUUGUACACGUUCUUCCCAAGGCUCGAGUCUCUAAUUUCGUGGUGUCUUUGGCAGCAACUCGACUGCCACUAACACUUCCAGGAUACUUCAGAGGUCUACCUCCUGGAAUAAGAGCACUCAAUUUCGGGGUUACUUCCACCUCUUUAUCGGUUGACUCUGGGCAGUCUCUGAGGAAGUGGUCAAGAGAACCACAUCUAUAACACGCACCGUUCUUCAUCUGGCACUCUCCGAAGUGAAAUUUAUUGUAGCUAUUACACUUCAGCUUUUGGUCAUCUACACUCCUCAUACUAGUCACCAUCGGAAGAAAGACUUCUGAUUACGUCAUUUGGAGCCUCUCGCUAUACUCGAAUAUCCUACCGAUAAAUUGGAGUGGUCAUGUUGGCUCAUUGAUUUCUUUGUGGGAAAUGAGAGCGUCUUACCGCUAGGUCUCUUACUCGCAACUUGAGCUUCUCUCUUAGCUUGUUUCCUUUCAUUAUUGAGCACUUCAGCUUUCUUGGCCCGAUCAGCUAAUGCAGCAAAUUCUCGUAUCUCAAGAAUCCAAUUAAUAGCAUGAUUUCCUCAUUCAGACCUGCCUCGAAGCAUUUACACAUUUCUAACUCUGUUUGAACCCAUUCAGUCACAUAUUGACUUAGCCUUACAAACUCCCUUUCGUAUUCCGAUACAGUCUUAUUCCCUUGUUUGAGUUCCAAGAACUCAUUCCGUUUCGAGUCUAAGAACCUUUGGCUGAUGUAUUUCUUCUUAAACUCCACUUGAAAAAAUUUCCAAGUGAUGUUUUCCAUUGGCACCAUUGAAGAUACGAUCUUCCACCAGUUGUAUGUAGUAUCCUUUAGGAGUGACACGACACACUUUAAACACUCCUCAGGUGUGCACGAUAAUUCGUCCAAUACUCUUAUAGUGUUCUCAAGCCAAAACUUCGCUCGUUCAGCAUCAUCAUCAAUCUUAGCUCUAAAUUCCCCAGCCUCGUACUUUCUAAGCUUGUCUACAGGGGCUUUACCAGUUCUUACAAUUGCCAUACCUAAUGGCACUUCCUUAUCAGGUUGGUUAGGGGGCGGGGGAGAUCGUGCUAUGUUGGGGUGAUUCCUCAAAUAAUCCCUAAACUACUCAUCCAUCAUGUCAAAGAAUGUGACUCUGGCCUCUUCCCGACCUUCAGACAUAGGCCUUCUACUACUGCUAGAAAUAGCUCAUUGUACAGUAGUUGGAGCAUGGCUCUCGGCUCCCUCAGACUCAUCUUGUGCUUGAUUGGAAGAUAUUUACUAUAUUCAAAGAUAAUAAACAGUUAGGAGAUAUCACACUAUCAACGUUCAUAUAAUGGCAUUUAUAGCUAAAAUCGAUGCACUUUACGGUAGUCCUAGAACCGACUAAAUCGUAACUCUAAUACCACUAAAUGUAACACCCAUUACCCGUACUCGAGACCGGGACCAGGUAUGAGGCGUUAC
rnacentral:lncRNA from 1 species